rnacentral:lncRNA from 1 species
CCCUCAUACAUAUCCUUAAUUACUCUGAUAUAUGCCUGCGGUACUCCCCUCACCUCCAAGCAUCUCCAAAGCACUUCCCUGGGGACUUUGUCGUACGCCUUUUCCAGGUCGAUGAACACCAUGUGCAGAUCCUUCUUCCUCUCCCUAUACUGCUCCACCAACCUCCGUACCAGGUGGAUUGCCUCCGUCGUCGAGCGGCCGGGCAUAAAUCCGAACUGGUUUUCCGAAAUAGACACUAUCCGUCUCAGCCUCACCUCGACCACUCUCUCCCAUAUCUUCAUAGAGUGACUCAGUAACUUAAUCCCCCUAUAGUUAUUGCAACACUGAAUGUCCCCCUUAUUCUUAUAGAGGGGGAUCAUGGUACUCCACCUCCACGCCUCGGGCAUCUUUGCCGUCCUGAAGAUUUCAUUGAACAAUGCAGUCAACCACCUUACACCAGCCUCUCCAACGAACUUCCAAAACUCCACCGGUAUCUCAUCCGGCCCCGUCGCCCUACCCCUUCGCAUCCUGCGGACUGCCUGUCUAACCUCGUCUACCUUAAAACGUCUACAAUAGCUAAAAUCUGGAAUAAUGAAUUUAGCUUAACAAAAUGAGCAAAACAAGCAAGUACUCAAAACCAACAAUCAGUUUCAAAUAUGAUUUUCAUUUAACAAAAUCAAGUUCAAAUCACCAUAUAAGAAAAGCUACCAAUGAUAAAUUCAUAUUACAACACUGCACAAAACAUCAUCCUGCUAUUUUUAUCCACAUAGCAAUACACACUAUGAAAAUACUACUAAAGCUCUCUAUCUUCUUCACUCCAAUCGUCUUCUCUAGUGUAUUUUUUUGUCUCAUCUUUCAUCUGAGCAAAUGAGUUACAUUGUUCUUCCAUUUGAGUGAAUGUAGAUUCAGCUUCAUCUCUAUAAUUUUUCUGUCACUGUAAGCACCAAUUAAUUCUUCCUUCGUCUUCAUUAUCUUCAAUAGUUCAUUCAUCUCCUUCACUUUCUUCACUAACUUUGGAAUAAUGAACUUAGAUCGUUCACCAACCACACCAUUCCUCCAAAAAAAAAAGUUACACUUGUUUGAUCCAUAAUAAGGACAAGACCAAAAUCUUCUUCCCGAAUUAUUAUCAGACCAAGAAGUCUUCAAAUGGAGUAAGAGACCAUUAUUGCAUUACACCUUCGCAUUCAACAUUGAAUCUUCCUUGUCUAAACAAAUCUUAUUCAAAUUCAAUUUUACAUAUUUCAGGUUAACCCUAGUUUCAAAAAUUAUAAAUUAAAAAUUAGUGAAAAUAGUGAGAAAAAGUUAAAAAAUAGUGAAAAGAAGUUUUAAACAAACAAAGAAAACUAAGAAGAUAUCAGAAAUUUACCAAAGAAAAUAAAAAAAAUCAAUGAAAAAUUUUUACCUUCAACAAUGGAAAGGAAAACGGGAGUAGAAUAGAAGAAGGGGAAUCUAUACCUCUCUUUAAUACAUUAUAUUAAAAAAAUAAAGGAAUCUAAUGAAAAAUAUAAAAAGUUAUGUGUCUAAAAAAUAGAUUUAUAAUGAUUUUUAAAUACCCUUCAAGGAACGUGAUUACACGCAGUGGUCCAAGUGGACAGAUAUAUGUCAUUUAAAUGCGAAAAAAAUCUAGAGAGGUCAUAGGACCCCGCAAAAUUCAGUAUGCGCAAUUGUAAAUUUAGGUAAACUACAUGUAUUUUACGCAGCUUUUUUCCUAUUAAAUACAUCCUUGUUGUAAUAUAAAAAAAAUUGAUCCGAAUCAUUUCAUUUGGGAGCACUUUGGGCUAUAAAAACAUGAGUAUUGAGAGAGAAAUAAAUUGGUGAACAUGAAAUAUCUUCAUGGUAUAAUUUCUAACGCGAAUUUAAUCUAUUUUGAUUUAGAAUAUCAUCGUAGUAUAAUUUCAAACUCAAAUCAAGAAAUUUUAUAUGAAUCUACUUUGAUCUUAGAAUUUUUAAAAUAAUAUUUAUCUUGAAAUUAUUUUAUUUGGGAGCACGUUUGGGCCAUAAAAACGUGAGUAUUGAGAGAGAAAUAAAUGGAAAAAGGACACUCUAUAACACUUUUUAAAACAAAUAGCUCAAGUUUGAUAUCUUUUCAAAAAGUGGUCACUCGGGUAUACUAUUUCCAUUUUAUAGCCAUUUUAAUUUGGGUCAUUUUAGCCCACGUAGUUCAGAUACAGUCCAUAUACAAUACUGAUACAGUCCAUAUACGAUAUUGAUAUAGUUUUCAACUUGGGCAAUUCGGCCCUUUUAAAAAUAUUUUAAUUUUUCUUGCUAUAAAUUUUUUAACUGAAAAAUAUUCUAUUUUUUUAAUUAUUUAGAAAAAAUAAUUAAAUAUAACUAAAUAUAAUAUAAUUAUUAUAUAUAAUAUGUAUCUAUAUAACAUAUAUGUAUAAAAUAUAUAUAAAAAAAUAUAUAGAAAGUAUAUAAAAAUUAUAUAAUUUUUGGUAUAAAAUGUGUAAAAAAAAAAAAUACAAUUAUUGUAUAAAUUGUGUAUCAAAAUUAUAUAAUUUUCGUAUGGAAUAUUAAUAUGUAUAAGAUAUGUAUAGAAAUUGUAUAGAAGGUGUGUAGAAACGGUAUAGAACAAGCCAGCUAAUUGAAAUAACUAGAAAGUAAAAUUUAAAUUCCAUGGCUAUUUUCGUGAAAAUAGUUUAAUUUGAAGUGUCGUUUCUAUACUUUCCCCAAAAUAAAUAGGUAAACAUGAAAUAUCAUCGUGAUAUAAUUUCUAACUCUAAUCUAUAAAUUUUACAUGAAUCUACUUUGAUGUUAGAGUAUUAUCGUCGUAUAGUUUCUAACUCGAAUCUAUAAAUUUCACAUGAAGCUAUUUGAUCUUAGAAUUUCUAAAAUAAUAUUUAUUUUGAAGUAUUUUUUUUAGAAUAGUUCUAAUGAAAUAAAAAAGGAUGCACGCCCAGUGGGACUCGAACCCACAAUCGCUUGAUUAGAAGUCAAGCGCCUUAUCCAUUAGGCCAUGGGCGCUUCUUCCUGGCGUAGUUCCCUUUUUUUUUAUUUUUUUAAAUUUAAUGUAUGAAAUAAAAUUUUGUAUAGAAAAUUUUAAGUGGGUGCAAAAACAAUUGAUUUUGGUAAUUGUGGAUCAUUGCUACCUUAUAAUACUUGUCUAGUCGUCAUGUCUUGUUAGCCUGCCUCGCAUUAUUUGGAGCUAUCAUGAACCCAUUGUUGUUUAUGUAAUUUUACUGACAUCAUUAUAUGAGUGAAGAUCGCUCCCAAUGACUGAUAAGUAAAAGAAUACCAAAUUUUGACAAUUUCAACAAAAUGCAUCAUAUACUUGCGACGUAGGAUGUUAACAUCUCUACUAACCUGUGACAUUUUCAACAAGUUGCUUCACACACAAUGUAGGAUGUAAACAUGAUCUCACACUACUGUGUAAAUAUCUUUUUAUACCAUUGGUGUGAGUCCGGGAGAAGCCACUUUUUUUUCAAACCUCAUUUGGUGCGAAUAUAGUAGAUAUGAGCAUUAAAACUAGUAAUUCUAAAGUUUAGGUAUCUUGCAACGUCUUCCAAUCAUAGUGAGACAUUGCAAAGUAUAGCUCACACGCUACGGGCUUCUCUUUUUCUAGGAUAAAGACUUUAAUUUUUUAUCGAUAACCUCAAACCCAUCAAUCGAAUAUCAAUUAAUAAGAAUAUCAAUUAAUAAGUAAUUAGAAUUUGUCUGUCUUAUAAGAUUGAUGUUAUCUAUUCCAAAGUUUUGCAUGUUAAAAGGUUCCUGCUGUGCAGUGGUUGUGGCCUACCUUUACAUAGCAACUUACAAUUGUCUUGUAUACAAUUGUCUUCGAUAAAUAAAUACUAUAAUUCCGGGAUAACCAAUCCUAGAAUAAGUUAUCUGGCGCUUUUACUCCAACCAAAUAUGAAAUAAAUUAAUACUAAAAUUAAUCUCGAGAUUAGUUAUUCCUCGCUCCAAAUGAGCUUUAGGAGUUAAUUGUUUGUAUUAGGCAAGUCUCUUUUAACAGGAAAAUAGUGGUUAGCAGUCAAUUGAGCGUUCUAAUAUUACAAAAUGCUAAAUUUAGUCUAUUGAUUGGAAUUUUAUUCAUUUUUGUGUUUGUAGGAUUUGUGUUUGCAAGAUGUUAUUGAACGGGACAGGAAUAAGCAAUACCACAAAUAAAAGAAAAUAAGAACACACAGAAUUUACAUGGAAAUUCUUGACGGAAAAAACUACGAGCAAAGGAGGAGGAAAUUUACUAUAAUAGAGAAGAGUACAAGGAGAAGACGACAGAUUCAAUGAUGUAUAUAUCAAACCACCCAAAACAACCCACUAAAUCGCACUCAUAUAAUACAUGCGUACAAAUAAAUCCUAAGCCCAAAAACAUACAGGUCCACACCACGGGUCCAUACAAAUAAAUCCUAAGCUCGAACCCCACGCUACCACCACAGACCCCCCAAAAAAUCUCAAACAUGAGUUGCACUACAAUCUUUUCAGGACCGGAUCCACAAAAUUCGAAUCACAAACUCUUAACACAAGAAUAUACACCACCUUUUUCGUUCUAUUUCAUGUUGCAUACAUUGUACAAGUCCAAAAUUAGAGUACGUGCUAUCAGGAAAUUUGCUUUUUUAAGACGACUCUGACUAGUGCAAUCUCACAAGAGAUUGUUUUCGAUGGAAACUUGGUUUAGUUGCAGACUUUGCACAAGAGAUUUCUGUCACAUCAGACUUAGCCACAUAACAAGAGAAACAAUAUGAACAAAAAAAUAAUGUUAUAAGCAUUCACUUACAACAAGAAACAACCACCAGUAAUGUUAUAAGCAUUCACUUACAACAAGAAACAACCACCAGUGUUUGGUGUAGCACUUGCAUUUUUGUGUAUUGUGUAGCACUUGCAUUUUUGUGUAUUCUUUACUACUUUCUUGGUCUUUCAUUCCGUCAUAUUCCUAAUAACCUAUCCAAUCACAACGUAUGAACCGCUAAUGUAUUCCUCUUUACUUUCUUGGUCUUUCAUUCCGUCAUAUUCCUAAUAACCUAUCCAAUCACAACGUAUGAACCGCUAAUGUAUUCCUCUUUACUUUCUUGGUCUUUCAUUCCGUCAUAUUCCUAAUAACCUAUCCAAUCCCAACGUAUGAACCGCUAAUGCACCUUCCUUUUAUCAAAUCUCAUGGACAUGGGUCUAAUCAUGAGAUCCUAAGUUUUUAUGAAUUCCUUCUUUGUUACCGGGGUCGACCCCUAAUCCAUAAUGUCUUAAAAUGAGGAGCGAUCAGCCACUUGACUGUAAGUACAGGAGGCAACCGAAAGACAAUAAACUAGUAAGUGAAGAUAUUCCAAAGUGGUUAGGAACUAGAAAACAUCAAUCAUAUCAUUCAAGGUUUUAUUGUUGAUAUUUAAAUGGGCAUUGAUGGUUUUUCUUCUGUUGAGUUGGGUUCUGAAACAAAACAAAAAUUAGUGACAGACAUCUCCACAACACAAUGCAUUAGUUAGAAAAAGCAGUUGGAAGGAAUACUGAACACCAACUCCUAUCAAAUGAACUCAGCAAACAGCCAUUAAACUAAUUUCAAUAGUUUCCAGCACUGCCUAGUUCAAUCAACAAGAAUAAUCGCCCGAUUUUUAAAUGGGGAUUAAGUUUGGAUAGUAAAUGUGUUUUCUGUAAUCAGAGGGAUGAAACAGCUGAUCAUGUUGUUUUUCCAGUGUAACUUUAUCAGAACUGUGAGGGGCAAGGGAUUCCAGAGUGGUUAGGAUGGCAUACAAGUGUGGUACUGCAGACCAAGGGCAAAAGUGCUAAAAGAAGAUUGCUUUAGGCAUGUAUUAACAUCAAACAUAGAAGAUAAAUAUAUGCUUGAAUAUAAAAUAAUAAUAUUGAGUAAAAGAAAUGAUUUUUGUACCUAUUCUUUAAUUUGAGGUUGGAGAAAGAAUUUUUCACCAAGUGGUUUACCUUAAUCCUUGUUCUACAGAAGCUAGCAUGCAGUAAUCAGAGAGGUUUAAUGAUCUUUCCUACAUCUCACAACCUACCUGGGGUGGAUGAUCCUCCAUUGCAGAUUUGGCAUGGUGAGUGUACUCCCACAAAGUGUGGUCCGGGUCAAAUAGAGUAGAGGGAGUGUCUACGAUAGGCCCCCGUCUUGAGACAAAUAAUAAUUUAAAAAAAUAUAGAAACAACAAACACAAUGAAAUAGCACACCAAUAGAUAAUAAAAGAAAUAAUACACCUACAAAGUGAAGUACUGCAUUACACAAUCUACUAGAAAAUCACAUGCAUCACCAAAAACACCAUGAACAAAGGACUACAAGACAUACAUAACAUUCCUUCCCAAAUUUAAAGGAUGUAUAAAGAAUAACUUUUCUUCAAGUCAUCAAGAACAAGCAAACCAAGAUGAUUUAUGCAUCUAUUCUUUCAUCUUGAAGCUAGCAUGCAGUAAUCAGAGAGGUCGAACGAAUUCAACAACGUAUUCAAAAAGAGACUAAGCUUCUGGACGGAAAAGAAGAGAAGUGCAAAGAUCAGACACAUAACUUACCGAAAAUCAAGUUGAAGAUAUUCCAAAGUGGCUGGAAACUAGAAAACAUCAUAUAUUUUUUUCAAGGUUUUGUUAUUGAUAUUUUUAAAUGGGCAUUGAUGGUCUUUCUUCUGUUGAACUAAGUUCUGAAACAGAACAAAAAUUAGUUACAGACAUCAGAGUAACCAAAACCUUUUGUAGAAACAAAGAAUGUGAUGGCUAUUGACGCUCUCCCAUCACAUCGCACAAAAAAGAUGUGGACAAAAUAACAGCUGACAACUGCAGCAGCCUCUAACAACACCCUAAUCUUCGAGUUCAAUAAUCUUGACGACAGAUGCAUCUCCAACUUUCUGGCAAACAACAACUCGAUCGUGUGAUUUAAUAACUCCUGAUGCCUUACCAUGAUCAAGAGCAACUUUCAGCACUGACUCGUUAGAUGCGUUGGUAGAUUCAGCCUACGAAGAGUAAAUCGCUUGAUUAGACACCAGCAAAAAGAAAAGAUGUAGCUUUCAACUGAACAUGACACACCAAAAAUGAUGAGAUAACUUACUGGAUGUCGAGGAUCAGCCAACAUUGGGAAAAGACCUCGGACAAUAAGAGAUUGCCUUGCCUGAACAUGAAGAAAUUGAACAGAAGAUUUGUCAGCUUCAAUGUCGAUCAGAAGUUAAGCUAGAUAAAAGGAACAAAUUUUGGAGGAGAAACGAGAAGCAGGUUGUAGAUCCCCACAUUGGUAGUGGAAACAGACGUGAUCUACACAGAGUAUGGAGGCGCUUAAAUAGUUAAUCGUUGCAAUUUCAAAUAUUUUUGUCAUUCUGAUAUUCUCAUUUAAUAAAUCAAAGAACGAAAACUUUUAGACACAAGCAAAAAGCUCAACAGGAUAACUUAUCAUUCAUUUUAAUGUCACCGCUGCAAUCACAUCAAAUAAGUUGCUCACAGGAGUGGCUCCAAACAAGAAAUGCAAAAUUAAAAGAAAAUAUUGAGAAAGUAUUGGACAACUCUUCUCACAAUUGUUAAAAAGACAACAUAUUAUCAUGGCAGUUCCCAAAAAGGGAUACAAAAUUCAGCAUUAUUGAGGUGAAGUAUUGAAUGUUGGAGUAAACACCUAAUGAUAAUUUAUCAGUUUAGAUGAAUAGAAACUAGUCAAUCCAAUGAUAAGUCAAAACACAAACUAAAAGUAUAGAGUAAACAAGGUCUCACUAGUAACAUAACAAUCACUAUUCAAUGCAUUUAACAGGCCAUCAGCUGAUGAAUUAUAGAUUUGAUAACUAAAGAAACUUCGAGCUUUAGGCUGUACCUCAAAUGCACCACUAAAACUCCACUUCAGCUGAUUUGUCUUGAGUCGAGGAAUGACAACAGACAAUACUGGCAUUGUUGGCCUAUAUUUAGCUAUCAAUCUAUGUAAUGAACAUAAGUUACAACUCUUGUAAAGAAAGAAACACUCAAUAUACCAACUAGUACAGUAAUAACGAAUAAACACUACCUUGCUGCCCUUCCAGAUGAAGUGAAACAAAUAAUUACUGAUGCUUUCACCUUGAUGGCGGCUCUUACCUAGAGAAGAAAGGAAUAUAAGGUUUUAUUGUGGUAAAUAACAGUAUAAAGCAUCUCUAUUUCUAGAAAUAUUUCUUUUCCCAUUUUAGGGUGUUGCAUUAAAAAAAAAAUAUACCGCUGAUGAGGCAAUUGCUUCCAAGUGUGUCAUGGGCUCUCCAACAAAUUUCACUGUUUUCUUGAAGUAUAGGUCUUGAUUGAAAACCUUCCCUGCCUGCAUGGAAAUUAAUUGCUGAUUAGUCCUGCUAGCCAACAGCUCAAGUAGGUCAAUAGACAAAAUGAUGAGCUCGCCCGUCAAAAGUUACUGCAAACGGUAACUACAACGCCAUAAAACUUGGCAACUGAAGACCAGACUGAACACGUCCUUUCAGAGCUCAAACCAACAAUACCAGGAGUGAUGAUAGAGCAAAUAUUUUUGACCCUAAGAAUGUUCUUGAAAUGUCAUAGGAAUUUAAGAUGUAGUUAUUUCUAAACUAGAAAAUCUCGAGCAAACAUAAGCCACGCAUGUCGAUUCUAUUCUAUUGAAGGAUUCAACAUACAGCUCUUUAAAAGAUAGUUAGGAGGCAAUUUCCUAAACUAAAUAAAACUUCAGGAAAAUAUUACCUCGGCACAAAUUUUGCCAACAGUGGAAAUAGUCUCGACUGGGUAUAAUCCACGCAGAGUCUCAGCACCAAGAAGAAUAGCAUCAGUUCCUGAAAGUGUUAAAUGUUAAAAUCUCUAAAGAAGUCAAGUUGUCUCAAUUAAGUUUCUUUAUUUUUUGAUAACCAGGAAAUCCCCGAGGACAAGUGGUGCACAAAUAAAAACUCGGUGGAUAAUUGAGAGGUGUCCCAAUUACGUGUUAAAAUAGUGCAUCAAUGUUAUUAUGACUAAUUAGAUGUGAAAGGAUAAAAGAAGAACACCAAUCCAUUGAAAUAAAAGUCCCAAGAAGAUUACCAUCCAAGACAGCAUUAGCAACAUCUGUUGCUUCAGCACGAGUAGGCCUAAGAUUGUCAGUCAUGCUAUCAACAACACGUGUUACUACAGCUGGCUUGCCAGCCAUGUUACACUUGUGAACAGCAGCCUUCUGGAACAAGAACACCUGCAAAUCGCCUGAUAUCAGCAUAGCUACAAAAAAUUAUGGCACACAAAUUUUGUAAUGGAAUUAUAUGUUAGUAGGAGAAACAGUGUAUGUAGACGGCUUACAAUCAAUCAAUAUGUUGUUUUAAAUUCAACCUGUUUGCACUCAAAAAAUAUUAAGGAAAUAAUUAACCGUAAAGAUAUCUAUUUUAUACGAGAACGUGGAGUAUAAGGAGCACAUGACUUCCAUGCAUCUCUUUCUGGUGUUCUGGGGUUUGGUCCAGGCAGGAAAAGGAAGGAGGGAACAAGAUGCAUCACAUUAUUGAUUCCACUUUGGUUGGAACAACGGAAUCUCUAUGUUUACAUGCUUAUAAUGUCGAACAGAAAUGAAAUUUGUCUGAAUGGCCAACCCACUUAUCAAGCAUCUAAACAGAGACUGUCGAGAAGAUAGUUUACCUUCUCUGGUGGAAGAUCAAUACCGAGGUUUCCACGAGAAAGGAUGAUCCCAUCAGCCUCUUUGAGUAUCUCAUCAAAAUGAGUCAAACCCUGUAUAGAUAACAGAAAGAAAAGUAGAAAGUUAAUGCCAAGCCCUUGCAGAAUUCAUGAUAUUCAAUGUAAACGGAGACCACAUGGGACCUGUUAAAAAAAAAAAAAAAAACUCGCUAAAAAUACAAGGCCCGUGCAGAAUUCAUGAUAUUCAAUGUAAACGGAGACCACAUGGGACCUGUUAAAAAAAAAAAAAAAACUCGCUAAAAAUACAAGUGUAUCAACUAACCUCCACAUUUUCAAUUUUUGCUAAGAUCUGAGUUUGACUUAGAUCACCCAGCUUAGAUAAGAACUCACGAGCCUGGAUUUUAGCACAAGGAUGAAGUCAAUUUCAUAUUGUCAGAGUCCGUACAAAUGCAAAUUGUCAUGACAGUAAGGAAUCUUAAAGGAAACGAAAUGAAAGUCAUGAAAAUAGAUACCUCACGGACAUCCUCAGCAUGUCUUGUAUAUGAUAGUGAAAUGAAAUCAAUUUUAUUUUGAACACCCCAUGUGCUUAUAACCUGAAAUAAAUUAACAUAACAAAGAAUCCAAAGUGAAUAAAGAGGGAACACCCUGCAAAAAAUAACCAAAAUAGGACACAAAACAAAGAGCAAAAAGUAGCUUUCCGGAGGCAAACUCUGUAUGAUCAGUGAUUACAUGCUUGCUAAUAAACUAGGGUAAGAUCAUACGUAAUGCAAACAUCAAUACAAGGAGGAAAAAAGGACCCACUUAUCUUUGUUGAGAAGUGUUUGGACCCAAAUUACACUUGUGAGAAACACACACAGUAGUUAAACAAAUUACCUAUAUGGUAUCAUUCUAGAACGCUCAAGAAAAGGCAAAUGUAGAAAUCCAUUUGUGCUAUAACAUUAACUAAUAACGCUAUUGUUAGUUUAUGCAGGAAACAAGAAUGAAACUGUGUUACAAUUCAUCCAACUCAUAUAUGUACACUAAGCUCCAAUGUUAUGACUGAUCCAAUUCAUAUAUGUCAAUUACAAAGUCCAAAUAAUCCUACAAUCAAACCCAUGACUAAAGAGUAGCAGUUAGAAAUAUGCUCAAAAAUCAAGUCCUCGGAGAUAAUUAUCUUUAAUGGAGUAGCUUGAAACUUCAUAAUCAUAAGUAACAUGGACAUCGUUCUUAGCAAUUGUCAUGAAUUUCGAGUAGCUUACCUCCUUGUCUUUUUCAGUGAGCGUUGGCAUAUCAAUAUGAACUUGAGAAGCAUGUAGAGUGAACAAUGACCCAGCUAAAGUGGCAGAGUUCUUUACCACGCAAACGACAUCAUCACCAUUCACUUGAUCUACCUGUGAACAUAGACUGAUUUUCUUAAUCCAAAUCAGUAGAUUGUAUAAAUUACAAACACAUCACAGCUUUCAUUCAUGAACGAACUUCCUGUCUUCUCUUUUUUUGAUAGCGAAAUAGUCCCUUCCCCCUACUCUUCUCCACCUAAUUACCAAGCUUUUUGUCUGUUGCAAGGCUUGAACAUGUGAUGUGCACAUCACGUGUUGCGCUCUCACUACUAGACUAAAUCCCUGGGAGCCACUAAUCAAUAAACUUAUUUUCAUAAAAUAAUAGCUAAAUCCUACAUUAAACAGGGAUUUGUAAUGCCGGAAAUGUAAUACAUGGAUUAGUAGGGGUGAGAUUUACGUACUUCCUACUCUCCCCAAACCCCACUGCAGGACUUCAUUGGGUAUGUUGUUGUUAUUGGAUUAUUAGGACUGUAAUGUAGGCAAUAUUUGUUAUUAAAAAUUACUAUGUAUUGCAUAUUUAAUUUUUUGAAAGUAUAAUUUACUAUGUAUUGCAUAUUUUUAAGUAUGUUUUUUUAACGAAAUAAAAUACAAAUUACCACAAGAAGGGUCAUUCGUCAUUCGGUUGUCUAUUUCACGUAUUGUAUAUGUGGAAGAGAAAAUUUGGAAGCACAGAUGGUAUGAAUAAUGUUAAAUGUUAAAUCAUACCUUAUAAAAAUGAAGUUUUAUAUGAAUAAUUCUAAGCUUUAACACUGUAUUAACAAUGUUUAAUUUUAUGUGGAGACUACUCUUUCUACUAAGCACAAUAGAAAAUCACCUAAGUACCAAGGACGGGGGAAGAAUAUCUAAUUCAUACCUCCAGCCAAACAGAUGUUGUUUCGCUUCCUGUGAAGAGGUACUGACCAACAAAAAUGGUGUCUCCCUUCUUUACAGCCUGCAAACAAAAGUAACAGCAUACUUUAGUACCAUGUAGCUAGUGAAUGUAAAUACUUAACUAGAAUUCGAUAAUCUUGUUCCACCAAGUUUUACAAUGCAUUUGCAAAUAACUGCUCCAUUUGUUUCCUUUAAAAAGUUUUACUUACCGAACUUCCAUAGCACUUAAUUUACUAACAUACACUGUAUGAAAGGGAAAAGUGAAAAACAAGAGAUGUGGGCUGGACCUUGGCUAAUCCAUCAAAGUUAAUUGGCAACACUUCAUCAGAUGCUUCUUGACCUUGAUGUGGGGUCAGAGUAACAAUUGCAUCUUCCUUAAGUGAAAUAGUUGUCUCGUUUUUGUUGACAACCUGCAACUCAGCACCCACAGUGUCUAGCAUAACCUGAAUGGAACAAAAACAUCAUGUUAUUUACUACCUUUAUAACAUAUCGAUUAUAUUAAAGUCUGUACGCCUGAGUAGAGUAGAGACGCACAAUUUACAACUAAAGCCUUCUUACACAUUAGCUGCACAACCCCAAAAUAAUAUUUGUUAAGUCCACUCCGAUGAUUCCAACUGACACCUCACCAAAGACAACAGAACUUACAACCGCCCCUCCCUCCACACCUUUUCUUUCUUAUUCAGCUGUGCAUUUUGUCACCACCCAGUGCCGCAUGCUUCAAGACAGAUGCAUGUUUCUAGGCACGUGUCUUUAUGACUAGUAAAAACACUGACGAGAGGCAGUUCCCAAAGCUUAAGACCCGUACCACACACAGGUCAAGGAUGUGAUUAAGCAUUCAAUAAAGUGUGAUGACAAACAUGUGAGAAUAGAGCUCAAAUCCCAGCAGAGACCAAAAGCUAAUUGAUUUCUUUCAAUGUGACUAAAACCUUGCAGGCAAAGUCAUCCAAUAUCUCUAUUGGUCACAAUUUAACACGGUAGUAAAGGACAGCCCGGAUCCCAAUGCACUAAAGCUUCGGCUACGCACAGGGACCGGACUACAAGGGUCUGUUGUACACAACCUUAACCUAGUAAGGUAAGGUAUAAGUCUAAAUACACCGGCCCCUGACCCACUCUCCACACAGGACAGAUGCACAAAAAAACAAAGUCUAGAAACUGAAGAAAUCCAAGACAAGAUAAAACCCAUGAAACAAACAAAACAGCAUUAAUAGCAUCAUCAGAAGCAAAAAAAAGAACAAAAUACAUACAGCACAAAGUUUCUUAGUGGCUUUAAUAGCAGCCUUCAAGUUCUCCAAAGUCUCCUGAUGAUAAUCUGAAUCUCCCCAUGAAAAAUCAAAUCUUGCCACUGCCAACACAACAAAAAUUAGCAAUCAAAAUUUACACAUCCCAAUACAAACCCAAUAAACAAAAUUUCAAGAUUUACCAGACAUUCCAGCUUUAAGACAAGCAGAAAUAGUCUCAACAGAUCGAGAUUUAGGACCCAAAGUCCCAACAAUCUUAGUCAUAGCCGGGAAAAAAUUCUGCAAACAUUCACAAACAAACAAAACACAUCAAUCCAAACAAAACAAAAACAUCAAACAUCACAUGCAAACAUAGAUCUACCAGUAAAAUACAUCCAAAAAAAAUGAAUCUUCUUGUAAAACACAUCAAAAAUAUUGAAUCUUUUACUAAAGUACACCAAAAAAAUUGAUUUCUUUUUUGUAAAAUACAGCAAAACAUUGAAUCUUUUCAGUAAAAUACAUCCAGAUAAAAAAAAAACUGAAUCUUCUUGUAAAAUAUAUCAAAAAAAUUGACUCUUUUACUAAAAUACAUCAAAAAGAUUGUUUUUUUUGUGUGUGUACAAUAAAGCAAAACAUUGAAUCUUUAAGUAAAAUACAUCAAAAAGACUAUCAAAUACAUUUAAAAAAACUGAAUUUUUUUGUAAAAAGCAUCAAGAAAAUUGUUUUUUUAAUGUAAAAUACAUGAAAAAGAAUGAUUUUUUUUUUGUACUUACAGGUUUGGAUGGCUCUAAAAUAGAGGCCAUCCUAAUGGGUUCUUCAAGAAGUAAGUGAUUUGAAUGCAUAUUUGAUGAAUUAAGAGAAGACCAAUAUGACAACUUGGGUGAAAAAGGAGAAGAAGAAUGUGGUGUUUGGGGAGUUUGAGGUGGUCUCUAUUGGUGUUUUUAAGGGGUUUUUGAUUCUUUUUAAAAACCUGUGGGAAGGGAGGCUGCGGUGGAAUACUUUUGGUUUAUUUGUUUACUUUUCACACAAGAAAUUUCUUCAAACUACUACUAUAUAGGAGUAGUAAUCAAAUAAAUUAAAUUUUCAGGUGAGGUUAUUUUUAGUCUUUCUUUUUAUUUUUUCCCUUUUUUAUCUUUAAUAGGAAGGGAUUUUCGAAAAUAGUCUUUUAAAUUUUAAGAAAUAGAAGUAGAAUUUAUGUAUAUUCUUACUUUUUUAUGUUACGGUAUGUAGUAGGAGUAUUAUUUUGUAGAAAUUUUAUCGAAUAUAUUAUUGUUAUUGUUAAUUUUCUUUUUCAAACAAGUAUUUAAAAAAAUAAAUAAAUUAUCUUAUGUUAAGGAUCUUUUGAAAAUAAUUAAGAAUAAGCAUACGCUUUAUUUUUUUUAUAUCUCAUUUUGUGGGAUUUCAUGAAAUAUGAUGUUCGUUAUUUAUUUCUAUUUUUUUUUUCAAACAAGUUAUUUUUAGUUUCGCUUGUGAAAUUGGGGUAACAAGUUGUAAAGAUUUUUAAAAAGAUACUAAAAGAGUAGCUCGUACAUUAAAACUCCAGAUAUGCAUGGAAAAAGAAGUUGAAUCAUAAGAAUAUAAAGUUUUAAAGAUUUUUUAAAAAGUAUUAUACAUAUUAGUAAAUAAAUAUUCAAAACUAGCUUCAACUUAAUUGAGCAUCUAGACAUCUCAACUUGUCAUUACAAAUUAUAUCAAUUGAAUACUUCAGUUACAAAAUUAUCAUUUAGAUACCUUCAAGAUUUAUGUUACAUUAAUUUUGGAUAUUCAUGAAACAAAGUGGAGACGAGUUGGAGUUUUUAAUUAUCAAUUGAGAUCAAGUUGAAGUAUCUAAAUGUGAACUCUCGAAAUUCGAGUGUUUAUUCAGUUGAAAUCGACUUUAAAUAUAUAUAUUUUAUGCAUUUUUUUUUAUUUUUCUAAAAAGAGAAAAUAUAAAUAGUGACCUAAGAAAAACGCAAGGUUAACUAGUGUGGCUUCCACUCGGUAUAUUCUGCGGAUCAUGUGAUUAAUUAAUGCUUGUGAAACACUGUAAUUUGCACGUUGCCUUUAAUUAAUUAAUGUUUAAAAUUUCAAGACUAUUUAUAGUAAUUUCUAAACAACUAAAUUUCCAUUAAAAUUGAUAAACAUUCAUUUGUAAAAACAUUAUACUCGAAGUUGAAGUGUGAAUUUGAUUUUUAAAAGAAUAAUCUAAAAUGUAAUUAUCUUUCACGUCAAUUCUUUUAUUUAUUUUUGUUUGUGCACUUUGAGUUUUGUAUACCUCUUAAAAAAUACUCCCUCCGUUUCGAAAUAAGUGAAUUGUUGAGGUAUUUAUUGGUGUUUCAAAAUAAGUGAAUCAUUAAAAAAAUUUUCCAAAUUUACCAUUAUGAUUUGACAACCAAUUAACUUUUGAAAAGAUAUUACAAGGUCGAUUUUUUCUUUUUAGGAAUAAAAAUGAAAAGUUGUGUUAAAUUUAUAUCUUUAAUAUUUUUUUUCUUAAUCUAUGUGUCAAAAUUCAAUAAUUCAUUUAUUAUGAAAGGAAGAAAGUAAUGUUGAAUAUAAAAAUAUUUUAUCACAAUAUUUAUAUUAGUGGAUGUUUAAUCUUAAAUUUUAGGGAAAAUAAUUUGAAGGAGAGCGAGAGGGGUGGGGUGUUUUCUUGUGGAGAUUAAUUAAUGGAGACAAAAGAAAAAAGGUGGGCGUAAAGAAUGGGACACUGUCGUACUUGUAUGUUCUAGUACAAAACAUGUGUUUUGAUGACGUAGAGGCCCAUAAAAUGAAAAAGAAAAUAAGAAUAACUAGGGGUGUGUUUGGUAUGAUGGAAAAUAUUUUCCGUGGAAAACGUUUUCUUGAAAAAUGUUUUUCUGGAAAAUAAGUUGGUUUUCUACUUAUUUUCUUAUAUUUGAUUGGUGAGUGAAAAAUAUUUUUCGAAAGUUUUUUUUUGGUGUUUGGUUGGUGAAUAGAAACUAUUUUUUUAGAAAAAUAAUUUCUAGUGUUUGAUUGGUGAGUGAAAAAAAUAUUUUUUUAGAAAAUACUACUAACUGUUAACUAGUAUAUCAGUGUCUUUAGCAACUCAACAAUUUGUAAGAACUAAUUUAAGCAUAACAAAUAAUAUCAAUAUCGAAUGCUAAAAUAUUACAAUCACUAAAUUUAAGCAACUAUUAAUUAGCAAAUAUAGAAGACGCUUUUCAAUAUUUUGUUAGGACAAUCUCAAGAUACUACAAUCAAUAGAAAUAUAACGGAACGACAAGCUUAUUCAAUUACAUCGAUGACAAAAUGAGAUAUGCAAUUAGCAAAAGUAACAUAGGUAAGUUUCUCUCUGUGCAUAUGAAAAUAACAAUAAAUUCAAUGAACAUUGAAAAUGAAAAAAAUUCGGGUUUCGCUAUUUUUUAUUUCAAACAGUGAAAAACUGAAGCAAAGAACAAAGAAAUAUAUUUUUGAGAAAUGUGAAUUUUUUUGAGUCAUGUGAAUAUGAGUGUUGUUUGGGUGGGGAAGAGGGGUGGGGGUGGGGUCAUAAGUUACAUUAGUCAUUUUUCCUCAAAUUAAGAAAAAUGAGUUGUUGUGAAAAAUGUUUUCCAAACAUUUUAUUGCAACCAAAUAAGGGAAAAUAGAAAAACAUUUUUCGGAAUACCAAACACGCCCUAGGUGUAAAUCACAUGUUUUGAAGCAGUAGGUCAGAGUUCUUUUGUCUAUUGAAAACAAAUACUACUGUCUUAUCUGGAUUGCGGUGAGACGAACGAGAUCUCUUUAUUCUUGAGUUUGAGAUUUGAAAAAAAUCGAACCUUAUUCUUUACGAGACACAAGUUCAAAUUAAUUGAAACUCUAAUAGAAGAAAAACUUCAGUAUAUCAAGAAUAUUCAAGCAAACAUUAUUUGUUGAAAAAUUAUGUCGUGUAUAUCAAUAGAAUGAUACUUUACAUAGUUAAGUUUAUGUUUCGAACACCCUUGAAACAUAUGACAUUGUACUUCGUCUUUAGCUGUUCAUGUAAAGGCAAUGUAUCAUGUACCCAAAUUCAAAUACUAUUGGUGAAACUUUUAAUUCCAUCAUUAAGUUAAGCUCUAAUAUAAAUAUUAAACAACAAAUUAUUUUAUUAACGUAGUGUCACAAUCAACUUGUGCCCUUUCAUGAAGUAAAUGUUGCCUACUGCCAAAAGGUAAUGAGUUUAAUAAGAUUUGUGUUGUUAAUUACUCCCUCGGUUUCAUAAUAAGUGAAUUGUUAGAGUAUUUUUUAUGUUUCAAAAUAAGUGAAUGGUUCAAAAUUCAAGGUAAAUGUUGAAUUUUUUUUUCCAAAUUUACCCUCUAUUAAAUGUGCAUUGGGAGUGAUGUAUCAUGUGUCUUUGCUUUUUGAAGAGGGUAAAAAUGAAAAAACAUGAUAAAUUUAUAUAUUUUUUUUUCUUAAUAUGUGUGUCAAAAUUCAACAAUUAACUUAUUGUAAAACGGAGGGAGUAUUUUGGUACAGAGUAUUUGAUACGAUUAAGUAAACUUAAUUCGUAGAUGAAGUUUAACUACUAGGAUAGAAAGUCAAUUUUUUAUUUUAGAGGCCCAUAAAAUGAAAAGAAAAUAAGAAAAACUAGGUGUAAUUCACAUGUUUUGAAGCAGUAGGUCAGAGUACUUUGGCUAUUGAAAACAAAUACUCCUAGCACGUAAAAAAGAAAAAAAAAACUUUAAUAGUAUUGAUGUCUUAAUUGGGGUGCGAACUUGCGAUGGAAUGAAUGAGAUCUCUUUAUUUUUAAAGUUUUGAAUUCGAAAUCUAUGUUAGAAAAAGAUUGAAUCUUUCUCUUUGACAUAAACUUUAUGAGACACGAAUUUAAAUUAAUCGAAGAUCAGACAAAUACUUUUUAUCGAAAAAUUAUAUCAUAUAUAUCAGUAUAAUGAUACUUUAUAUGAUUAAAUUUUGUAUUUCAAACACUCCAAAAUACUUCGUCUUUAGUUGUUCAUAUAAAGGCAACUUUGAAUGCACCCAAAUUCAAUUACUCUUCGUAAAAUUAUUGAUUCCCAUCACUAGAUUUUAAUAUAAAUCUCGAACAUACUUUUUUCUUUUGUUGGAACAUGUAAAAUGUUGUCAAAAUCUGUGGGCAGAAUUAGUACUCCCUCCGUUUCAUAAUAAAUGAAUUGUUGAAUUUUAGCACACAGAUUAAGGAAAAAACAAUAAAGAUAUAAAUUUAAUACAACAUUUCAUUUUUACCCUCUAAAAAGCAAAAGUUCACUUUUAAUGCCUUUUCAAAAAUUAAUUGAUUGUCAAAUCAUAAGGGUAAUUUUGAAAAAAAAUUCAAUGAUUUAUUUAUUUUGAAACACUAAUAAAUACCCCAACAAUUCACUUAUUUCGAAACGGAGGGAGUAACUUUUUAUUUUUGGGUGAUGUGCGCAAAUAAAGUACAGUACUACUUUUAUAACCUAGGGUCACAGUCAACUUAUGCCCUUUCAUGAAGUAUUUGUUGCCUUCUACGAAAGGGUAAUGAGUUUAAGAUUUGAGCAAUAUUAGUUUACAAAAUUAAUUUUUUGAGCAAUAAAUUUAAUUUAAUAUUACAGAUUAUCUAAUUUUUUUUAUAUAAAGAUUCAAAAAAAAAGUAAUCCACAAUAAUAGAUAAAAUUAAAGUUUAUUUGACAGUAUAGCAUACAAAAUUUAAAUUCAAUGAUAAUUUAUGUGCCCUUUGAAUAUUUGCACAAGUAGAAUGUUUUAGUGCAAAUUUGUCUUGCCAUAAAGCCUAACGAACUCGCAGAGAUUUGCGACAAAUCCCGGCAAUGAAAAAUCUUUGUCAUGUCGUAAACGUGACGAAUUCUUAAAAUUUAAUCAUAAAAUUGAAAAUAUCGUAAACGUGACUGAUUCUUAAAAUUUAGUCAUAAAAUUGAUUUAUUAUAGUUUUUCAAUACGUUUUUUGCUUUAGACAGUGUCAUGAAUGAAUUUCAAAUGACUUCAAAUUUGAUAAACAAAAUUCUAAUGCUAACCUCAAUAAUUCACGUUAGAUUCAAUCUAAACCUUCAAAAAUCACGUGACUCCCAUUGUCUUCUUUCGAUAAUCAAGUUCAAUAAAAUUCAAUUAUGAUAUUUAUCAAAUUUAAUUAACCAAAUCCUCAGAGGACACCUGUGAAAAUUAGUAUUAUAAUCCUUAUAUAUAAUACUAUACUAUGAGUCAAAGUUUUGCUGCUCCAAUCUUGCCAUCAUCAAUAUUAGGUCAAUUUAAUAAAAUAUAUAAAAAUAAUUUUCAAUUGUUCAAAGUGAUUUGAAAAAAAAAAACGUACUAAAUUUAUUGGAUUUUUGUUGCACCGGAUACUCAAACUUAGGUUCGAAUUCUUCAAAUUGUAUUAGUUACUUAGAAGAUUGAAAAAACUAUAUCAAAUAAGGUAUUACUAAUAUACAAAAUCAGUACAUGCAUUAAUCAAUGAUGGAGUCAGGAUUUUCAUUGAGGGGGUUCAAAAGUAUAUAUACAAACUAGUUGAAGGUGUUCAACAUCUACUAUAUAUGCAUAAAAAAUAUUUUUAAUCAUGUAAAAUAAUAUAAAAACAGUAUAAUUUUUUAUCGAAGGGGUUCGAAUUGAAUCCCAUGGAGCAAAAGUGGCUCCGUCACUUGCAUUAAUACAAUAACUAAUAUCAACAUUAUUACUGCAAAUAUUACUAAUACACCAUAUUCUACAAUAUUCUUAUACACCUACCAAACUGCCUUGUUAAGUUUGAUACAAAUAAAGACCUAAUUUAAGACAAUAGACUUAUGUUUGCAUGCAUUGCCAUUUUGAUUAUACCACUUCAUCCAAAUGUUGGUUUUACCUCUUAAAUUUUUCAUGUGAUUUUUAUUAUACUCAUCUAGGACUCUCUUCAAUAUUUAUUCAUACAAGUUCAAUAUCGAUCAGAAAACGUCACUACCACCAACAGAGACGGAUCUAAUGUUAUAUAUCACGUUCAUUUGGAUUUAAUAUUUUCAAUGUGAAAUACUAUAUAUUUAUAUGUAAAUAUUUACUAAAAUUACAAUAAGUAAAACUUUGAUCAAGCUAAAAAUUAUAAUGAUUGAACCCAUAAAAUUUAAAUUUUUAACUCCUUUCAAUCGAGGGUCCUUCGAAAAUAAUUUCUCUAUCUUUACAAGUUAAGACUAAAUUUUAAUUGUAAAAUUUCAUUGACUAUGUUAUUGUUGUUCCAUAAUAGACUUGCAAUCUUUUAUAUAGGAGGUGGCCACUGGCCAUUAGGGGGCUACAAAAGACAGGUAUACAGAAAUAACCCUUUGGUUACACAAAACAUGCAUUCAGUAAUUCUUAUUUGAGCAUUAGAACAUUUCGUUGUACUAAAUAUAAGUUGUUUAUUGGUUAGAAAAAAAGAGUAACAAUAUGCUCCUUAUUUUAGUUAUUUUAUUUAUCUAAUCAUUUAGGUAACUCAAGUAUGUAUUUUUUUUUUACAUUAUACUGUAAAGAAGAAAAGGGGACAAGUGAGAUGACUUAGUUGAUGCAAGAGGUGGUAUUCUAUAAGGAAGGUCCGAGAUUAAUUUUCUCCAUCUGACUUCUUCUCAGUCUAGCUCACGACACUAGAAAACACUUCUUUAAAAAUAGUGUAUAAAUUUAAAUUAAUCAAACUAGUGAAUUAAAUAUCAAAUGGUUAUACUAAAUUCUUAUAAAUGCAGAGAAAGGAAAUUUCCCUUUGGGCUCCACUUCUCUAAAUGGGAACAAGGAUAUUAUUUCUUUCUUUCACUUUUCCAUAAAACCAAACAAAGAAACUGUAAUAUCUUUCUGCCUUUACACUUUCUUGAUUUUGACUUCCCUUUCCUUUUCAUUCCUUUUCUGUUCUUCAUUUCACUGCUUUCUCAAGAAAUCCAAACAAACUAAGGUUGAUCUUUAAUUUUUAUCCUUCAAAAUCAAGCUUAUAUUAUGGUGCUCUGGAGGAAGGUAGUAGGUACUAAGGUACCCUGCGGAGUUGAUGCACACAAAUUGGCCCGAACAGUAUGAUAAUUGAAAAAGGCAGUUGUUCUUGUUAAUUUUAUCUGCACUUUGUAUCAGGGGCGGAUUCAGGGUGCUGGGUGGGGGAUCCCGGAAACCCAGUAACUUUCGUACGGAACUAUUAUUUAUAUAGCGAAAUCAAGUAAAUAUAUAAGAAUUAUAAGUUAGAAACCCAUAAAUAAAGUGUGUUGUUGGUCUAGUGGAGUAGAUAGAUUUGUAAAAGAUUUAUUGUCCUCUUAGUUGUAGGUUCAAAUCCCCGUAGCCACUAUUUGUUUUUAUUUUUGUUAAUGCAAAAAAUCCACAAACUUUAAAUACUGCCUGUUUGAUAUACACUAUGUAUAUAGUUGGAGAUUCCCAUCAAAUGUAGUAAAAAAAAAAAAAAACAAUGGUACUGCCAGGACCAUACAUCUGGUCGACCAUACGUGGUAAUGAAAAUACAAAGUAUACUCUAUUUCUCAGCAUUAACAAAUUUAUGGACGUCAUGUCUACCAGGUCGUCUCUAUCGUGAAGAUUAUGACUGCAUUUACCAGUUACCAUAACCACCUUUACCAUUCCAGGCAGUGAUUCCCAGAACAGAGUUGUGAUGGAAGCUGUGUAGAUGAAUCCUCAUAGAAGCUGAAACAAUUUUCGGUCAGAAACGCGGCACCAACGUGCUUGGUGCAGCUAAUGAGCAAACCAUAGGAAGUAGAGGUGAGUAGAUAAUUUCAAUCAGCAAAGUAGCCGAUGGAAGAGAUUUCUAAGUAGGGUAGUACCAUGAAAUUCUCGUCCAAUCCACAGAAGCGCAAACACACUCCAUUCAGAUUAUGUUCUUCAUUUUUCUGCUGUUCCUCUUGCAUGCCUUAACGGUUAGGAUUGAACAUCACCCUCUAGCCAAUCAAACAUCAUUGUCAUUGGACUGAAUCAAUGAUAUUGAGGAAGUCGGUCAGAUCCUUCUUCUCAACUAAAUUAUUGACAUUUACUAGUGAUAAUAUAAUAUGUGGGGGGAAGGGCGGGCCGCACCCUUGCCCCCAAGGGUGUGAUGUAGACAACAUAUCCUAAUACAAACAUUAGUGGUUGCUUCCACGGCUUGAACGCGUGACCUAUAAGUCAAACAGAAACAACUUUACCGCUGCUCCAAAGAUCCCCUCAAGUGAUAAUAUAAUAUACAACAACAUACCCAGAUCCCAGUGUAAUCCCAUAAAGUGGGGGAGUACUGAUAAUAUAAUACAGUAAGCAUAAUUAGAAAAUACUGAUGAUUCCUAAACAAGAAAUACUUCAUUUUUUGGUAAAAUCUUUGCGUCGCUUGUCAGAUAUUAGUUUGGUUUGGAAACCAAACCAAAUUGUUCUCUUUUAUAACGCAGUGUCACAAUCAACUCGUGCCCUUUCAUGAAGUAUUUGUUGCCUUCUAUCAAAAGGUAAUGAGUUCAAGAUUUGUGUAUUGUUGGUGUACAAAAUAUUUAAUAUUAUCAAGUAAAUUUGAUCUGCCAUUGCAGAUUAUUGAGUUUUUUUACAUAAAAAUUGAAAAAGAAAAAAUUAGUUAAUCUAUGAUAGCAUAUAAAAUUUAUCUGAUAGUAUAGAGUAGUUUAUACAGAGAUAAAGCACAAAACUUAAAUUUAAAGAUAAUUCUGUGCCCCUUGAACAUUUGCAUAAGUACAAUGUUUUAGUGCAAAUUUGCCUUGCCAUAAAGCCUAACGUACUCGCAGAGAUUUGGGCAAAUUCUAGCAAUGAAAAAUCUUUAUCAUGUCAUAAACUUGACGAAUCCUCACAAUUUAAUCACAAAAUUGAUUUAUUAUAUUUUUUAAUAUUUUUUUUUUGCUUUAAAAGUGUCAUGAAUGAAUUUCAAAUGACUUCAAAUUUGCUAAAGAAAAUUCUAAUAGUAACCUCAAUAAUUCAUGUUUGCUGAGGAUUUUAGGGAAAUAAUCUCUCAAUCUUUUCGAGGCAGUGAUAAAAUAUAUGUAUAUUUUAUCCUUCUAGACCUCACUUAUAGAAUUUCACUUAGUAUAUUAUUGUUGUAGUAGCCUCGAUAAUUCACGUUAUAUUCACUCUAGACCUUCAAAAAUCACGUGACCCCAUUGUCUUCUUUCGAUAAUCAAGCUUAAGAAAACUCAAUUAUGAUAUUUAUCAAAUUUAUUCAACCAAAUACUCAACGAACACCUGUGAAAAUUAGUAUUAUAGUCCUUUUAUAUAAUACUAUACUAUGGGUCAAAGUUUUGCUGCUCUAAUCUUGCCAUCAUCAAUAUUAGGUCAAACUUAUAAAAUAAAUAAAAUAAUUUUCAGUUGUUCAAAGUGGUUUGAAAAGAAUCCGCACUAGAUUUAUUGAAUUUUUAUUUCGCCUGAUACUCAAACUUAGGUUCGAAUUCUUCAAAAUGUAUUAGUUACUAAAUAGAUUGAAAAAAAUAUCAAAUAAGGUACUAUUAAUAUAUAAAAUUAGUACAUGCAUUAGUGUGACAAUCAACAUCGAUAUUAUUAGUGCAAAACAUUAUUAAUACAUCAUAUUCUAAACUAUUCUUAUAUAUUCUGCCAAACUUACCCUAUUAUUGUUAAGUCUGACACAGACCUAAUUUAAGACAAUAGACUAAUGUUUGCAUGCAUUACCAUUUUGAUUAUACCACUUCAUCCAAAUGUUGGUUGGUUUUACUAGUUAGUGUUUGUUUGGAUUUUAUAAUGCACGGUAUUAUAUGAUAUAAUACUGUACCGUAUAAUACAAUAUAAUGUUUGGAUGGAUUAUACUGUUCACUAUUGUUUAAUAAUAAUUUUAUUAUUUGUUUGAUAUGAUACUAUAUCGUAACUGGAAAGUUUAUUAAAAUGUCUUUACUUAUUAUAAAUGUUAAAUUAAUCAAUAAUUAUUAAUAAAAUAUUUUUUUUCUUGCUAAUUUAUUACAAAUUAUGUCAUAUAAAUAUAUAAAGUUGUUAAAAUUCAUGUUAACUCUAAAAAAAUCAAUAAAAGAUUAGAUCAAACUAAAUCCAAUCGAAUUCAUUUUUUAUAGUAACAAAUUUCAUUUUCUUUUGGUGUUUUGAGACGUGACCAUCAACGACAAGUACAAAAUUUGAAUGCACAUUUUGUAUACUACGGAUGUGUUCAGGAUGAAUCUCAAAAAAGAAAAUUUAGGAAAAUAAAUUAUUCCUUACUUAUUUUCUUGUGUUCGUUAUACAAAUAGAAAAAUAUUUUUUAAAACAUUUGUCUAUAUUUAACACAAAACAAUGAGAACGAAUAAACUAAGGGAUGGAGUAAGAAAAAAAUUAUUAUUUUUUUUAAAAAAUAAUUUAGGGGUGGAGGAGGCGGCGGGGUCAGGGUCUGGGGUGAGUACGAACAAAAGUUUUGAUUUUUUUUUUUAAAAUACAUUGAAUAAAAUUUUGUGAGGGGGGAGGGGGGAAGCAGGGGCUGAUAGGGAAUAUGGGUGGAGUAAGAAAUUUGUUUAAUGAAUAAAUUUUAAAAAUAAAAAAAUUGGUGUUGCUAGGUGGGGGGUAGGGGUGGGUGAGGUUGGGGUAAGAAAAAGUUUUGAAAUUUUUUUAAACAAUAUAUUUUUUAAAAAAUGGUUGGGGUGUGGCGUCGGGCUAGGGGGUGGGAUUAGAAUAAAUUUUAAAUUUUUUUAUAAAUGAUUUUAAAAAAAAAAAUUAGAGGAGGGGGUGAGGAUCGGGAUAGAAAGUGGAGUUAAAUAAUAUAGGGUAAACGGUAAAAUAAUCUAUAUCUAUAAUCUAUAUCUAUAGUAUAUUCAAAGUGUGAAAACCCUUAGAAGAGUGAUUUGAACUUUUUGUCCUUCAUUAAAAGACUCUUUUUUGGACAAAACUGUCUUUUCACUAUUUUUUUAAUUUAUUAUUUAAUUAUUUUUUAUUAUAUUAACUAGACUUCUUAAAAUACAUGGGACUCCUAAAAUAUAUGGUAGGAGAAUUAAUUAAUAUUUUUCUUUCUACUAUACUUCUUAAAAUAUGGUAGGAGAAUUAAUUAAUAUUUUCCUUUUUACUGUUCAAUUAGAAAAAUGUGCCUAAAAUAGGACUCUAUUAAUUAAGAAAAUAGUUCUAUAAAUAUUGAUAUGUACGUUAAAAUAGAGAACAAACCAAUCUGUCUAUUGGGAGAAUAUGAUUGAUACUCAUGUAACUUGAUUCGAUUGUAUGUCUAGAUUGGCGGAUGCUUAAUUUUCUAACGCGUAACUUAUUCACUGUUUUUAUCAACAUAAUAGAAUUCAACACGUGUGUGUGAUAUCUUCUUUGUUUUCAUUCAAAAUCAUUCUUUAAGGUCAAAAUUUUCGCUCAAACAAGAAUUAGUUAAAUCAAAAUCGAAACUUUGUGAUCACUAUUAUAUUAUUUUUUUAUAGUUUACAAGUCGUAGUGAAUGUCGGUUGGCUUUGAAGAAUUUCUUGUGUAAAUAUUAGAUUUAAUUGUAUUGUUUUGAUAUCUUUUUAUCUUAUUAUUUUAUUUUAAUUUACAAAUGCUAGAUCAAUGUGAGUCGGCUUUGAAAAUUUUUUUUAGGUAAAGGUUAGGUUUAAUUGUAUUAUCGUAAUAUCUCUAUUAGUUUGUUAUUUUGUGGUAGUUUACAAUUCGUAGAUGAAUCUCGAUCAGUUUUGAGAAAUUUUUGUGUGUAAAAUUCAAGUUUAAUUGUAUUGUUUUGAUAUCACUUUUAUCGUAUUAUUUUAUUGCAGUUUACAGGAGAUAGAUAAAUGUUGGUUGGCUUUGAGUAUUUUUUUAUGUAAAGGUUAGGUUCAGUUGUAUUAUUUUGAUAUCUCUGUUAUCGUAUUAUUUUAUUUUUGUUUACAGGUGGUAGAUGAGUGUCGGACGACUCUGAGAAAAAUUUUGUGUGUAAAGAUUAGAUUUAAUUGUAUUAUUUUGAUGUCUCUAUCAUUCUAUUGUUUUGUUGCAAUUUACAGAUGGUAGAUGAAUGUCGAUCGACUUUUAAAAAUAUUUUUGGUAAAGUUAGGUUUAAUAAAUAAAUUUUCCAUCUUUACAUACUCAAAAGAUAUUAAAUUUAAUUAUUAUAUUUACCUUUAUUAUUUAAACAAAUCUCCUAUUUAGUGUAGUGUUUGAACUCAUUAAAGUGAGGUACACGCGCAAGACGUGUACACCUAAACUAAUAUUAUAUAAUAUCAAGUAAGGCAUAAUUAAAAAUAAAACAUGGGAUACCACCAAAUCAGUGGUUACAUAAAGUGAGAAUUUUCAUAGUUACCCAACUAUGAAAUUAACUAAAAAUUACACAAACCCACAACUCAUGUUUCAUUUAUUACAAAAAAUCCAUCUCCCUAAACAUAUUACGUAAAUCCCAUUUUUUAAGUUUCUCUCUCUAAAAGUACAUAUACAUAUAAAUUCCUUUUGCUUUCACGAUUUUUUCUCUAAAAAAAGGCUAGAAUCACGGGUCGGUUACCAUGUUUGAAAUCAACUGUGUUUGAAUCCAACUGCUAGUCACUGGCAUUCAAUUUUAACUUAAUCUCCUUUUAUCAUUCUCAAUUUUUAAGAUCUGUGGUUAGUAAUUUUUUUUCUUUAAUUAAUAAAACAUUUGGAGAUUUUCGAAUGAACAAAUUGUUGCAUGUUUUGAUUAAGUAAUUCUUUGGAUUUUCACUUUACCAAAAUAUAGUUUGGAUAUCUAGAUUCUCCUUUUUUCUUUUCAAAAACGUCUAUUUCAAGUACUAAAUUAACAACAUAGUACUUAGUAAAUGGAUGAUUCUCCUUCGUUUAGUUUAGGAUUAACUCUGUUAGAACAUACUAAACCAACAAAUUCGGUAAUUGAGUUCGUUUCCAGAGUAUUUAAUUACGAGGAAUCUAACUUUGUUGAAAACAGAUCAAAACAUCGCAACGACUCCAUUAAGAUGAAAAAGAUUAACAAAGUUGUUGUUGGAAAGUCGAUAAAACAAAUUGAAGAAUCAUCAAGAAAAAUUAAAAAAGAUGAUACUGCACGGCCACGUUUAUCAAAGAUAUUUCUGAUUUUUCAAUUUUGAUUUUUUAUUUUGGGUUUAUUGUGGUUUUUUAGUAAUUUGAGAUUUUAAAAAUGUUAACUAAUAGGCGGCGGUUGUUAGUUCUUAUGUAGCUUUUGAAUUUUUGCAUAAGUUUGAAGUUAUGCUAGAAGUUGUCUGUGCAAAUACAAAACAACUCUUUGUAUAUAUUCUACAUAUACAUAUUUGAUGAUACGUUUGAUUGAAAUAUAAUGAUAUAUAAUUCAUAUGGUUACGGGUGUAUAUAUUAGUAAGUAUGUAUGUGUUGUCCACAUAUAUUAUUCAUUACAUGUUGUUGAACAUAUACAUAAGUUUUAAAUGAAAUUAUAUUUUGUAAUGUGUGUUUGACGCAACGAACAUUACAUAUGUAUAUAUAAAAUAUAUACAAAAGUAAACAUAUGUUAUUAAACUUAUAAUGAAAUUCCUAGUUCAUAUACAUCAUAUUUUUAUGUAUAUGUUUUUAAUUUUUUUUUUUUUUGUAUUUGAGGCAAUGAACAUCAUCUAUGUAUAUGACUAAUAUAUACAUAAGUUCUGAUAUGUUGUUAGAUGUGUAAUAAAAUGCCUAGUUGAUAUACAUCAUUUUUUUAUGUAUUGAUCAUAUGUGAGCUUAGUUGUUAGAUGUUGUUAGGUGUGUAAUGAAAUGCUAUUUGAUAUGUACUGUAUAUGUUUUGACCAUAUAGCCUCACAUAUAAUGUCUUUUUUAUUUUCAAUAGGGUCUGAAAUAUAGGAUAAAAAAUGUCCCUGCGCAUUCGUUGCAUUUCAAUAGUUAUUGAAAUCGAGAGUUUGGAUCACAUAUAAAUAAUUAUCUUGGUGAAGAAGUUCAAAAUCUUUUUCGUCAAAUAAUUUUUGGUUCCUUUCUAGACAUGCCUCAGUGUAACUUUCAGGGUCACAUUUUCAAAUGCUUACUUAUGCUUGAUGUAGAGCAAGAUAAUCCGGACGAAAUUCACAUUUACCUAAGAAAACUAUUCUCAAAUUUUCUAUUACUGAGUUUGCUAUAAUAUUCAGACUUAAAUGUAAAGGGAACAUCGAGGAUUACCUUUAUACCGAAUCAUCUAAACCCGUAUUAAUAGCGAAGAAUUUUUCAGACACAAAAAAAUCUGUCAAAAAAAUUAUUUUUGUACAGCGAUUCAAGUUGGGAAACUUUGACAACAAUACCGAUGCUUUGAAUAUGUCCAUACUUUACUUUAUUCAUACUUUUGUAUAUUCAAAAAUACGUGGUGUUAGUAUUAGCAGAUCGGAUUAUGUGAUGCUUGAAGAUGGAAGGUAGAAACAAUUUUAAUGGGGGAAGACUUCGUUUCAAAAGCUUAUUGCAAUGCAAAGACGGGAUUUCUUUGUUGAAAAACAGUAAUACUAGAUUGGGGGAAUGCCUCAUGUGCUGAAUGUUUAGAUGUAUGAAUGUUUUUCUGAGGUAGACAACAUGAUAGUUGAGCGUGUAAAAAAUAUAAUUCCAAGAACUUUUAACUGAAAGAUUGUUAGGAUUAAGGUCAAGUACGAGAAGUUCAUGAGUGAUAUGUUCAACAAGGUAAGUGUUUAGUACAUUAUUUCAAGUUAAUGUUCGUAUUUCACUCUGUUGACUUUAAUAGACUCUUAAUGUCAUCAUUUUUAUUGCUUAACAGUUUGUAUACAACAAUUUACAAUCAACUCGUGAAGAAGUGCAAAGACUUGAUUUGCUAAUAAGGGCAUUGAAUUGAAUGAUGUUGAAUCUUCAUUCUCACAUGAUACUUUUUUCGAUCGUAGUGGUAAAAGGCUUGUUGUUGACAUAUAUACACAUUCGAACUCCGACCUACAAGGUUAUGAGGAUUUCAAACAGUCCCACCACAAUUCUUAAAAAGAUAGGUCUGAGAACCAAUGAAUCAGCAUCACAAUCUACGAAGAGGAGGAGGACAGUUCGUUUUGAUGUUAAAACUGUCGAGAUGCAAGAUCGUGAGGAAACGCCAUCGACUGUUUCAAGAAAACAUAUGCCAAAAGAUAAAACACCAACUACUGUUUCAGAACGUGUUGAUGCAACAAAGACAACUCCAUCAUUAUCCAGCAAGUCUGUUCAUCAUGCUACUUCUGAUGAAAAGUGGGACGAGAUAAACUCGUUUUUACAGUCCUGUGUAAAUUUCUCUUAUGAUCAAUAGUAUAAAUUAAAUUAUGAAAACACUGAUGUUUCUUGUCUUUGUAUCUGCAGGUUGACAAAAAAUUCAACGUUCUUCACGAUCUAAUGAUUAAAUAACAUGAAGACUCAAACAACAAAAUGGAUAAACAACAUGUCGAACUCAUGCACAUGUUGAAACACAACAAACACACCGAUGAAAAGGUAAACUAAAUUGAAUUUACGUUAUAUAAUUAACGAAUUUGUUUAUAUUUGUAUUUUUUUCAUUUGUCUGAUUUAUAUUGUAUUUUGAAAAAAUUAUUGUAUAAGGUUCAUACACAUCAUAAAUUGUUAUAUGUAUUUUGAUUAUAAUUUCAUUUACAAUGGCUCACAUAUAUAUACUACUUCAAUAUACAAGCACUGAUUUGUGUAUAAUAGCACAUCAUUUGUAUAUUAUUAAUACAUGUAAACUGUGUUAUGUAUAUUAGAUAAUAUACAUAACUGUGUUAAUAUGCAUAUGAGAUGUCUUAUUUUAUUUUAUGUAUAUUAUAUAGCAUACAUAUGUAACAAAUAUAUAUUAGAUAAUAUAUAUAUUUGUUACAUAUGUAUAUUAGAUAGUAUAUAUAUUUGUUACAUAUGUAUGUUAUAUAAUAUACAUAAAAUAAAAUAAGAUAUUUCAUAUGCAUAUUAUCUAAACUUUUUUAGAUGUAAAGAAUGUUUUUGUUUUUAAAUUAUGAUGGUGAAGAAGCAAAUAUUUGGGCAGAAAAAGAAACAUUCAAUGUAAGUUCACGGUAGAAGCAUUUUAAGGUUAUUUAUGUCUAUUUCUUAGUUUAAAUCAAUAUUUUAAAAUUUAUUCUUACAUAAUUUUAUAACAAAAUCCACAAGAUCAUUAUGUGGAAGGUUCAAGAACGGAAGAUGUACCAUCACAAGAGCAGGUUGAUGAGAUGGAUAUUUUUCAAUAGUGAAAGACAAAAAAAGGGCUACUUUUUUUUAUAAAUAUGCCUUUUUGUUAUCCUACAUUGAUGUUAUGAAAAUUAUUAAUACACAUAUAUAAUACUAAUUUUAUUAGAAUGAUGAAAUGGGAGGUUUUAAAACAGGUGAUGCAUCAUCACAAAACAAUGUCGAAGAGAUAGCUAUUGCCACAAGCUUGAAAGACAAAGGAAAAAAGAUAUUUUUUCUUAAAUAAUUGCUUUACACAAAUUGUUUCAUAUAUGAAUUCAUCUUAACUUUUUUUUUUACUUUUAAAAAUUUAUGAUAUAUUUUUAGCUUAGUUUGUUGUGGAUUUUAACUGAUACCCCUGGUAGUUAUAUCAAUGUAUAUGUGAUAUGUAUAAGAUUAUAAUAUACAUAGUUCAUCAAAACGAGAAACCAUAUAAUACUCAUUUUAAACUUUUAAGUUGUUGGCGAUACUGAUAAAUACUUAGGCAAAGUGUUUGGUGACGAUAUAAUGGAGGAUGAUUUUUUUUUAUGGGAACAACAGUCUUAUACAAAAAUAAUUUGAGGUUAGAUAUCUCAGAUUUUAACUCUUAUAAUUAAAAUAAUAAACUGAUUUAGUUUUGUAUAUGUUAUAUCUACCAGAAUAUUGAAGGUUAUAGUGCGGAUAAUGAAAUUGUCACAUUAGAUGCUCUCAUAAAAGCUAUGGUAAAUCAAAAAUCGAAUUACACCAAAGUUGGAACAUCUGUUACAGUGAAUAUCCAUAAAAAAACAUCCGCUAAAUGUAUAAAGUACAAUAUACAUGUCAAAUAUUUUACACAUCACACUACUUUUACUAACGUGUUUAAACAAAACUAACACAUAAUAUUUACUAUUAGGAUGAUUACUCGAGUACAAUUUUAGAAUUUGCUCAAGACAAGUUAGACGCCAUAAUUGAAGGUCUGGCAGCACCGAUAGAUAAUUUUUCGCUAGAAGUUGUUAAACCGCAUUUCAUAUCUGAUAGUCAGAUUCCUCCAGAUUUUUCUGAUACAUCACAUCAAGCUGCAAAAACCCCUGCCAAGAGAACCAGGGCUAAAUCUAAAGUUUUCAAGUCACCAUAUCUGACAGAGUAUACUUUUGGUUCAAAUGCCAUUGAGAACGAAAUCAUAGAAUUGAUGCAGAAAUUCGCGUUUGAUUAUUUCAUAAUAUCUGACGACAUGUCGUGGCGUGUCAUUACAGAGUACAAGAAGUGGGUUGAAGAAGGUCUAUUGAAGUUUCAUGUAAAAAAGUAAGUUUUAUCAUUAUUAAAUUGAACAUUUUUUGUCAAUAUGUGUUUACAAUUUAUAUUUUUUUCUUACUAACAAAAUUUAACAUUUUAUAGAAAAAUGAAUGAUGACCACUACAGAAUAAAAGCAUCUGCUCUUGGAGUUCAAGAAUUUGAUUUUGUUGUUGCACAUGCAUGGUCAAAAAAUUGAUGUCUCAAACAAAUGCAUGCUAAAACGAUGAAAUAUUUUUAAUUUUAAAAAACUUUCAUAUUUACAUACAUAUACCUAAGUUCAUUCGACUUGCAUAUAGAAAAAUUUGUUAUGUUCUUUGUCACAGCACUGUUGAUUUAUGUAUGUGCAUCAAAUUUAUAUAUAUAUGUAUGACUGUUAUGUAUUCCUUACCAUUAUGUAUAUAAAUAUCUGAUUGAAAAAUUUAAGUAUGACCGGUUAUUGGCAGUUACUUAUGCAUACGCCCAAGUGCAAAGUACAAUAUUUCUAUCUAUUUGUUAUAUGUCCGUCUUAUUCUAUGUAUAUGCAUGCUUGUUGAUAUGUAUGUGCAAAUGCUAAAGAAUACCUACUUAUGUAUAUAACAGUUUGUUAUGUAUAUGCACUAUUAGUUUAUAAAUACUUCUGCCUGCAUGUUAUGUAUACUAACUACACAAUUACGUAGACUCUUUUUAACUCAUAUUACUUAGGGUAAACAUAUAAAUAUGUUCACAGUAUAAAUCGAUAUAAUGCCUCUUUUUUGUAGCACAUUGAUGUGAUAUUCUAUCACCUGCGCAAGAAAUUAAAGAUUGAUCAAGAAUAUAAAUGCACAACAAUUGUUUUUUCAAGAGCUAUAUUGAGAAGACGUACUGUAGAUAUUAUCCCGAUAUGGUACUUUCUACACAACAGGAUUAUGCUCAAUCUAUUUUUGUGGCCCAGAAUAAAGAGGCAAUAACAAACAUAAUCAAGGAAUUUUGCAUUCUAGCUGGGUUACCAUGGCACCUAGUUGAUGAGGUGUAUUUUCCUGUCAACUGCAAUGAAAAGUUUCACUGGAUAUUAGUUGUUAUUGCUCUAAAGGAUAGCCGCAUACGCGUCUAUGAUUUACUGUCCAAUCUAAGAAAUAUGGACUCAUCGUCCGAGAUUCACAAGUUGGCAGUGAUGCUGCCAACUUACUUGUCUGACGACGAAUUUUUUUGAAGAAAAGACACGUACAGAAUGUGCAAAUCUUGAUGCAUAUAGGGAUAAGAUGAGUUAAAGGACAUAGUUAGUGAAUCAACACCCAUUCAAGGUUGAGUAUAUGCAAAACAGUACUCAACAAGAAUGUGACAGCUUGUAAGUAAUCUAACUGUUAUUUAUGAUGUGUUGGACAAAAUAACGUGUUUAUUUUUUUGCAUGUCAGCUUGGAAGAAACAAACACGGUAUUUCUUCUAACACAGCAUAAAUAGUAGUUCAUAAAAAAAUAUAGAAGAUUACUUACAAAUUGUCACAUUCUUGUUGAGUAAUGUUUUGCACAUACUCAAUCUCAAAUGAGUGUUGAUUCAUUAACUGUGUCCUUUGACCCAUCUUAUUCCUAUAUGCAUCAAGAUUUGCCCAAUCUGCACGUGUUGUUUCUUUAAAAAAUCCACUGUCAGACAAGUAAGUUGACAGCAUCACUGCCAACUUGUGAAUCUCAGGCGAUGAGUCUAUAUUUCUUAGAUUAGACAGUGAGUCAUAGACGCGUAUGCGUCUAUCCUUUAGAGCAGUAACAACUAAUACCUAGUAAAACUUUUCAUUGCAGUUGACAAGAACAUACACCUCAGCAACUAGGUGCCAUGGUAACCUAGCUGGAAUGCAAAAUUCCUUGAUUAUGUUUGUUAGUGCCUCUUCAUUCUGGACCACAAUAACAGACUGAACAUAAUCCUGCUGUGUAGAAAGUACUGUAUCUGAAUCAUCAGGAUCAUAUCUUCGGUACGUCUUCUCAAUAUAGCUCUUGAAAAAGCAGUUUGUUGUUGUGAAUCUGUAUUCUUGGUCAAUCCUUAAUUUUAAUUUUGCACAGAUGAUAGAAUAUCACAUCAAUAUGCUACAAAGUUGAAAUACAAAGAAGAAGCAUUAUGUCGAUUUAUACUGUGAACAUAUUUAUAUGUUUACUCUAAGUAAUAUGAGUUAAAAAGAGUAUAUAUAAUUGUGGAGUUAGUAUACAUAACAUGCAGGCAGACGUAUUUAUAAACUGAUAGUGCAUAUACAUAACAGACUAUUAUAUACAUAAGUAGAUAUUCUUUAGCAUUUGCACAUACAUAUCAACAAGCAUGCAUAUACAUAGAAUAAGGCAGACAUAUUGCAAAUAGAUAGAAAUAUUUUACUUUGCACUCAGGCAUAUACAUAAGUAACUGCCAACAAUCGGCCACACAUUAACUUUUCAUCAGAUAUUUAUAUACAUAAUGAUAAGGAAAAUACAUAACAGGCAUACAUAUAUAUAAAUUUGAUGCGCAUACAUAAAUCAGCAGUGUACAACUGACUAUGGCAAAAAACAUAAUAAAUUUUUAUAUAUGUAAGUCGAAUGAACUUAGGUAUAUGUAUGUAAAUAUGAAAGUUCCAGCAUGCAUUUGUUUGAGACAUCAAGUAAAAUAAAUUUUUGACCGUGCAUGUGCAACAACAAAAUUGAAUUCUUGAACUCCAAGAGCAGAUGUUUUUGCUCUGUAGUAGUUAUCAUUUAUUUUUCUAUAAAAUAUUAAAUUUUGUUAGUAAGAAAAAAAUAUAAAUUGUAUACGCAUAUUAACAAAAAAUGUUAAAGUUUAAUAAUGAGCAAACUUACUUUUUUGCAUGAAACUUCAAUAGACCUUCCUCAACCCACUUCUUGUACUCUUCAAUGACAUGCCUUGACAUAUCAUCAGAUAUUAUGAAAUCAUCAAAUGCGAAUUUUUGUUUCAAUUUAGUGAUUUCGUCCUCAAUGACCUUUGAACCAGAAGCAUACUCUGUCAAGUAUGGUGACUUAAAAACUUUAGAUUUAAUCCUGGUCCUCCUGACAGGAAUUUUUGCAGCUUAAUGUGUCGCAACAACUGCAUCAGGAAAAUCUAGAGGAAUCUGACUAACAGAUAUGGAAUGCGGGCUAACUAUUCUUCUGACGGUUUAACAACUUCUAGAGGAAGAUCAUCCACCAGUGCUGCCAGACCUUCCAUUAUGGCGUCUAAGUCAGCUUGAGCAGAUUUUAAAAUUGUACUCAAGUAAUCAUCCUACUAGUAAAUAUUAUAUGUAUAGUGCUAGUUUUUUUUAAAUGCGUUAGUAAAAGUAGUGUGAUGUGUAAAAUAUUUGAAAUGUAUACUGAAAAAAUGCACUUUAUGUAUUUACUGGAUGCUCUUUAUGGAUAUUCACUGUAAUAGAUGUUUCAACCUUGGCGUAAUUCGAUUUCUGAUUUACCACAGCUUCGACAAGAGCAUCUAAUGUGGCAGUUUUAAUAUCCGCACUGCAACCUUCAAUAUCCUGGUAGAUAUGACAUAAAACAUAUACAAAACUAAAUCAGUUUAUUGUUUUAAUUAUAAGAGUUAGAAUCUGAGAUAUCCAACCUUAGAUUGAUUUUGUAUAGAGGAAUGUGGUUCCCAUAAAAAAAAAAACAUCCUCCAUUAUAUCAUCACCAAACACUUUGCCUAGUGUCACCGACAACCUAAAAAUUUAAAAUGAGCAUUGGAUGAUUUAUGAUAACGUUCUCAUUUUGAUGUACUAUAUAUGCAUAUUAUAAUCAUAUACAUAAGUCAUAUCACAUAUACAUUAUAAUAACAAUAUAACUACUAGGCACAUCAGUCAAAAUUCCCAACAAACUAAACUAAAAAUAUAUCAUAAAUUUUUAUUUUUUUUAAAGAUUAAGAUAAAUUCAUAUAUGAAACAACGUGUAAAACAAUUAUUUAGGAAAAAAUAUCUUUUUCCCUUUGUCUUUCAAGCUUGUGGCCAUAGCCAUCUCUUCGACAUUGUCACAUGAUGGUGCAUCCUCCAUUAUAUCAUCUCCCAUUUUAUAUUGAUUGUGUCUCAACAACAGAGAGAGCCACAACAUCGAAUUCAACACCCUCCAAGCAAAGAACAACUCCUAUUUCUCCAUUGAACUCUCUGUCCUCUGCACAUUUAUCAAUCGUUGAUAUGCACAACGGAUACAUCACGAACACUGGUUGAGAUUCUUAACCUCCACAUACAACCGAACACUAUUAUCAUUACAGAUAUGAAAAGGUGAUUCAUUGCCGUCAACAACAUAACGUACAUCAAUAUUUUUUCAAGAUUUGUCAAUGUUUAAUUCGACAAUAAUUGACGACAUCAACCUCAAAUAAUUAAUUAAUUCAGCGACAACGAUCCCUUCACUUUUGUAAUUAACAUAUUUUGUUUCGAUUCCCCAUUGACCAAAAUACCUCAAAAAAAAUUAGCAAUAUUCAUCUUCUUGAAUUUCAAUAAAUUAGCAAUAUUCAUCUUCUUGAAUUUCAAUUAAUUUUUUUUCUUCAAAAAGAUCAAAAAACAGUGCUCAAAUUGAUUUUGAUUUAUAUUUUUCGUCUUAUUUGAUUUUUAUGUAUUUGUUGUUUUCAAAAUUAGAAUUUCAGUAGUUGUUACAUAAUUUAAGGGAUGCAAUAAUCCACUUAUUAAAUUAGUUACGUUAAUUACGUCCUUAAUGGCAGGGGAAUCCGCUAUUUUCAUUUUAACAAUGGUAACAAAUUCGCAUAUACAAAGGUUUCUAUGUAUAUGUCGGCAGUCUUAUGUAUAUGAAUUGGGAGAGAGUAAAAUAAUUAAAGAAGUGGGAGAAUGUAAAUAAUAGUAAAAGGAUUGGUAUUUAUGUUAUUUACUAGUUUAGGUGUACGCGCCUUGCGCGUGUACCUUACUUUAUUGAGUUUAAACGUUACACUAAAUAAGAUAUUUGUUUAAAUAAUAAAGAUGAAUAUAAUAAUUAAAUUCAACAUCUUUUAAAGAAUUUAUUUAAUUAAACCUAACCUUACCAAAAAAAUUUCUCAAAGCCGAUCGACAUUCAUCUACCACCUGUAAACUGCAACAAAACAAUAAAACAAUAUGAUGAUAAAGACAUCAAAACAAUAUAAUUAAAUUUAAACUUUACACAAAAAUUUCCUCAAAGUCUUCCGACACUCAUCUACCACCUGUAAACUAUAACAAAAUAAUACGAUAAUAGAGAUAUCAAAAUAAUACAACUAAACUUUACCUUUAACACAAAAAAAAUCUCAAAACAGAGAUAUAAAAAUAAUACAAUUAAACCUAAUUCUUACCUAAAAAAAUUCCUCAAAGCCGACCGACAUUUAUCUACCACCUGUAAAUUCAUCUAAGACCUGUAAACUACAACAAAAUAAUACUAUAGUGAUAAAAAGGCUUCAGUUUUGAUGAAACUAAUUUUUGUUUGGGCGAAAAAACUACAACAAAAUAAUACAAUAAUAAUCACAAAGCUUCAGUUUUGAUGAAAAUAAUUCUUGUCUGAGCAAAAAUUGACACUAAAAAAAUGACUUAAAUAAAAACAAAGAAGACAUAUACACACACAUGAAUGAAGUUGAAGGCUAGAAAAUUAAGCAUCCAUCAAUCUAGAUAUGCAACCGAAUCAAGUUAGAUGAGUAUCAGUCAUAUUUUCACAAUAAGUAAACCAGUUUCUUCUCUAAUUUAAUGUGCAUCUCAAUAUUUAUAGAAGUAUUUUCUUAAUAGAGUCCUAUUUUAGAAGUAUUUUUUUAUCCUAGUUUAGGAGUAUUUUUCAUCUAAAAUUUUAGUAACUUAUGUUAAGAGAGAGAAAGUAAUCUUUUAUUUUAUUUUAACGUCUUUAUAUUGACAUAAUUAGUUAGAAUGAUAUUUAUUUCACUUCUUAUACAAUUACAAAUUCAAAUUUUUCUUUGUAGUCUCAACUUUUUUUUGCUCCGUUUUCGUCAAGUUGAAUUUUCCUAAAUUCAAAUGUUUUUCCAGUACGUUUUUCUUAUGGUAAAGCCCCUCCCCCCUUCAAAAUAUGGUAAUUCUUAUUAAAAUAUUAAUUGAUUCUCUUUUUAUAUAUUUUAAGAGUCUCAUAUAUUUUAGGAGUCUAGUUAAUAUACUAAAAAUAAUUAAAUAAUAAAUUAAAGAAAAUAGCGAAAAGAUAGUUUUGUCUGAAGGAGAGUCUUUUAAUGAAGGGCAAAAAAUUCAAAUCACUUUUAUAAGGGUCUUUACACUUUUAAUAUAUUAUAGAUAUAGAUAUUGAAAUUAGACCAUAUCAUACAUUUUAAGAAACAAUCAAAACAAAUAUGAUUCUCCUAGUAACCAUACCAUACCAUGAAAAACUACCAUCCAAAUAGUGUGUAAAAUUUCCAAAUGUGAUUUUUAUUAUACUUAUCUUCAUCUCUCUUCAAUAUAUUUUAUUCAUACAAGUUCAAUAUCGACCAAAGAACGUCACUACCAGCAACAGAGGCGGAUCAUGUUGGGUGUCACGUUCAUUUGGAUUUAAUAUUUUCGAUAUGAAAGAUACAUGUAUAUGUAAUUAUUUAUUAAAAUUACAAUAAGUAAAACUUGAAUCGAUCUAAAAAUCAUAAGGGUUGAGCUCACAAAAUUUAAAUCUUAGACUCGUUUCAAUCGAAGAUACUUCGGAAAUAACUUCUAUAUCUCCACAAGUUAACAGUAAAGUCAACAUACAAUCUAUUACUUGUAAAAUUUCACAGACUAUGUUAUUGUUGUUCCAUCAACAAAUACUCUAAAUUGCACAUCAAAGAUAGUUUGAUGAUACACGUAUCCCUAAGUUUGUCAUACUUAUUACUAGAAAAAAAAAUUGUAGUGGGACACUCGUAUCUUUUUUGGAUUUUGGUCAUUUCAUAAUAGACUUGCAAUCUUUUAUAUAGGAGGUGGCCACUGGCCAUUAGGGGGCUACAAAAGACAGGUAUACAGAAAUAACCCUUUGGUUACACAAAACAUGCAUUCAGUAAUUCUUAUUUGAGCAUUAGAACAUUUCGUUGUACUAAAUAUAAGUUGUUUAUUGGUUAGAAAAAAAGAGUAACAAUAUGCUCCUUAUUUUAGUUAUUUUAUUUAUCUAAUCAUUUAGGUAACUCAAGUAUGUAUUUUUUUUUUUACAUUGUACUGUAAAGAAGAAAAGGGCACAAGUGAGAUGACUUAGUUGAUGCAAGAGGUGGUAUUCUAUAAGGAAGGUCCGAGAUUAAUUUUCUCCAUCUGACUUCUUCUUAGUCUAGCUCACCACACUAGAAAACACUUCUUUAAAAAUAGUGUAUAAAUUUAAAUUAAUCAAACUAGUGAAUUAAAUAUCAAAUGGUUAUACUAAAUUCUUAUAAAUGCAGAGAAAGGAAAUUUCCCUUUGGGCUCCACUUCUCUAAAUGGGAACAAGGAUAUUAUUUCUUUCUUUCACUUUUCCAUAAAACCAAACAAAGAAACUGUAAUAUCUUUCUGCCUUUACACUUUCUUGAUUUUGACUUCCCUUUCCUUUUCAUUCCUUUUCUGUUCUUCAUUUCACUGCUUUCUGAAGAAAUCCAAACAAACUAAGGUUGAUCUUUAAUUUUUAUCCUUCAAAAUCAAGCUUAUAUUAUGGUGCUCUGGAGGAAGGUAGUAGGUACUAAGGUACCCUGCGGAGUUGAUGCACACAAACUGGCCCGACCAGUAUGAUAAUUGAAAAAGGUAGUUGUUCUUGUUAAUUUUAUCUGCACUUUGUAUCAGGGGCGGAUUCAGGGUGCUGGGUGGGGGAUCCCGGAAACCCAGUAACUUUCGUACGGAACUAUUAUUUAUAUAGCGAAAUCAAGUAAAUAUAUAAGAAUUAUAAGUUAGAAACCCAUAAAUAAAGUGUAUUGUUGGUCUAGUGGAGUAGAUGGAUUUGUAAAAGAUUUAUUGUCCUCUUAGUUGUAGGUUCAAAUCCCCGUAGCCACUAUUUGUUUUUAUUUUUGUUAAUGCAAAAAAUCCACAAACUUUAAAUACUGCCUGUGCUUUAUAUAUUGAACUAGUCUAAUAUUUGAUAUACACUAUGUAUAUAGUUGGAGAUUCCCAUCAAAUGUAGUAAAAAAAAAAAAAACAAUGGUACUGCCAGGACCAUACAUCUGGUCGACCAUACGUGGUAAUGAAAAUACAAAGUAUACUCUAUUUCUCAGCAUUAACAAAUUUAUGGACGUCAUGUCUACCAGGUCGUCUCUAUCGUGAAGAUUAUGACUGCAUUUACCAGUUACCAUAACCACCUUUACCAUUCCAGGCAGUGAUUCCCAGAACAGAGUUCUGAUGGAAGCUGUGUGGAUGAAUCCUCAUAGAAGCUGAAACAAUUUUCGGUCAGAAACGCGGCACCAACGUGCUUGGUGCAGCUAAUGAGCAAACCAUAGGAAGUAGAGGUGAGUAGAUAAUUUCAAUCAGCAAAGUAGCCGAUGGAAGAGAUUUCUAAGUAGGGUAGUACCAUGAAAUUCUCGUCCAAUCCACAGAAGCGCAAACACACUCCAUUCAGAUUAUGUUCUUCAUUUUUCUGCUGUUCCUCUUGCAUGCCUUAACGGUUAGGAUUGAACAUCACCCUCUAGCCAAUCAAACAUCAUUGUCAUUGGACUGAAUCAAUGAUAUUGAGGAAGUCGGUCAGAUCCUUCUUCUCAACUAAAUUAUUGACAUUUACUAGUGAUAAUAUAAUAUGUGGGGGAAGGGCCGCACCCCAAGGGUGUGAUGUAGACAACAUAUCCUAAUACAAAACAUUAGUGGUUGCUUCCACGGCUCGAACGCGUGACCUAUAGGUCAAACAGAAACAACUUUACCGCUGCUCCAAAGAUCCCCUCAAGUGAUAAUAUAAUAUACAACAACAUACCCAGAUCCCAGUGUAAUCCCAUAAAGUGGGGGAGUACUGAUAAUAUAAUACAGUAAACAUAAUUAGAAAAUACUGAUGAUUCCUAAACAAGAAAUACUUCAUUUUUUGGUAAAAUCAUUGCGUCGCUUGUCAGAUAUUAGUUUGGUUUGGAAACCAAACCAAAUUGUUCUCUUUUAUAACGCAGUGUCACAAUCAACUCGUGCCCUUUCAUGAAGUAUUUGUUGCCUUCUAUCAAAAGGUAAUGAGUUCAAGAUUUGUGUAUUGUUGGUGUACAAAAUAUUUAAUAUUAUCAAGUAAAUUUGAUCUGCCAUUGCAGAUUAUUGAGUUUUUUACAUAAAAAUUGAAAAAGAAAAAAUUAGUUAAUCAUAUAAAAUUUAUCUGAUAGUAUAGAGUAGUUUAUACAGAGAUAAAGCACAAAACUUAAAUUUAAAGAUAAUUCUGUGCCCCUUGAACAUUUGCAUAAGUACAAUGUUUUAGUGCAAAUUUGCCUUGCCAUAAAGCCUAACGUACUCGCAGAGAUUUGGGCAAAUUCUAGCAAUGAAAAAUCUUUAUCAUGUCAUAAACUUGACGAAUCCUCACAAUUUAAUCACAAAAUUGAUUUAUUAUAUUUUUUAAUAUUUUUUUUUUUGCUUUAAAAGUGUCAUGAAUGAAUUUCAAAUGACUUCAAAUUUGCUAAAGAAAAUUCUAAUAGUAACCUCAAUAAUUCAUGUUUGCUGAGGAUUUUAGGGAAAUAAUCUCUCAAUCUUUUCGAGGCAGUGAUAAAAUAUAUGUAUAUUUUAUCCUUCUAGACCUCACUUAUAGAAUUUCACUUAGUAUAUUAUUGUUGUAGUAGCCUCGAUAAAAGUUAAAUUUUUGACUCCUUUCAAUCGAGGGUCCUUCGAAAAUAAUUUCUCUAUCUUUACAAGUUAAGACUAAAUUUUAAUUGUAAAAUUUCAUUGACUAUGUUAUUGUUGUUCCAUAAUAGACUUGCAAUCUUUUAUAUAGGAGGUGGCCACUGGCCAUUAGGGGGCUACAAAAGACAGGUAUACAGAAAUAACCCUUUGGUUACACAAAACAUGCAUUCAGUAAUUCUUAUUUGAGCAUUAGAACAUUUCGUUGUACUAAAUAUAAGUUGUUUAUUGGUUAGAAAAAAAGAGUAACAAUAUGCUCCUUAUUUUAGUUAUUUCAUUUAUCUAAUCAUUUAGGUAAUUCAAGUAUGUAUUUUUGAUGGUAUUCUAUAAGGGAGGUCCGGGAUUAAUUUUCUCCAUCUGACUUCUUCUCAGUCUAACUCACCGCACUAGACAACACUUCUUUAAAAAUAGUGUAUAAAUUUGAAUUAAUCAAACUAGUAAAUUAAAUAUCAAAUGGUUAUACUAAAUUCUAAUAAAUGAAGAGAAAGGAAAUUUCCCUUUGGGCUCCACUUCUCUAAAUGGGAACUAGGAUAUUAUUUCUUUCUUUCACUUUUCCAUAAAACCAAACAAAGAAACUGUAAUAUCUUUCUGCCUUUACACUUUCUUGAUUUUGACCUCCCUGUCCUUUUCGUUCCUUUUCUGUUCUUCAUUUCACUGCUUUCUGAAGAAAUCCAAACAAACUAAGGUUGGUCUUUAAUUUUUGUCCUUCAAAAUCAAGCUUAUAUCUAGCAGGAUAUAACUUGUGAAAUAUUAUGGUUCUCUGGAGGAAGGUAGUAGGUACUAAGGUACCCUGCGGAGUUGAUCUCCAUGCACACAAACUGGCCCGAUCAGUACGAUAAUUGAAAAAGGCAGUUGUUCUAGUUAAUUUUAUCUGCGCUUUGUAUGUUGAACUAGUCUAAUAUUUGAAGUAGUAGAAAAAACCAAUGACUGCCAGGACCAUACAUCUGGUUGACCAUACGUGAUAUUGAAAAUACAAAGUAUAUUUCUCAGCAUUAGUCAAUGUAGUCAGCCAUAUAUAGUGCUUGCCAGAACUGUAAGAAAUUGUAAACAAAUUUAUGGACGUCAUGUCUACCAGGUCGUCUCUAUCGUGAAGAUUAUGACUGCAUUUACCAGUUACCAUAACCACCUUUACCAUUCCAGGCAGUGAUUCCCAGAACAGAGUUCUGAUGGAAGCUGUGUGGAUGAAUCCUCAUAGAAGCUGAAACAAUUUUAGGGCAGAAACGUGAAAGCUGCACCCGGCAGAACGUGCUUGGUGCAGCUAAUGAGCAAACCAUAGGAAGUAGAGGUGUAACACCCCGUAGUAUUCUCGACUUGAUACCACACUUAGUAGCAUGCUUAAAGAGCUAACAACCUGAAACUUUUCCAAGUGUUUAAAAGGACUUAGUCAUAUUUUAAGUUCCUGAAUUUCAAUGAUCCUUAAAUCGAUCUUUCCGACCUCGAGACGUAGAUUUUAAAGUUAAUUCAUGUUCAAGGAUGUAAGGGGCAUGUCUUGGGGAAGUUUCAGAAUUUUCGAACGAGUGUAAGGGCAUGUUUGGAUCACCAAAACAGUAGCACGCCGCAAUAUGCCUGCGUCACCUGCUCCAUUUCGGUGCUACGGAACACACGUCGCGCGCUCCAUUCCGGCGCUCCGUAGCCCGCUGAAUAGCGUGCUCUCAUAUUUUUCAGUUCCUGUUUCCGCGUAUUUGAGGGCAAUCAGGUCAUUUACCUUACCCAAAACUGUCCAAAACACAAGAUUGAAGCCCCCAAAGAGCAUUUGUUACAUCAUCAUUCACUUUUCCUCUCCAAGAAAACCCUAAACCCCCCAAAGAUCAAGAAUCAAGCUCUUACGUCAAGAUUUCCAACAAACAAAUCAAGAUUCGGGUUCUAUCCUUCGAACUAAGUAAUCUAAGAUACGUGGGGCCAUCCUAAACUCCUUGGGCAUAAGUUUUAUGAUUUUUAUUAAGUUCAAAGAUAUAUAAUCAUGUUUACAAAGAGGGUUUUGACAUGGUUUUGAAUAGCAUAUAUUAUGAACUUGUUUUGAUGAAAGUAAACGUUUGUCUUGAACCCCUUUUAUAGAAUUGAAUUAUAACCACGUAUACAUACGCGUUUUCAGUUUUGCAAAGUUCAAUUGAGAGCAUAAAUGACGCAACCCCUCUCUUGUUUCGAUACCUCUUGAUUUCACAUGUUGUUGGUUGUUCAAUUGUAUAUUUUGAACAACAACAAACCCAGUGUAUUCCCACAUAGUGAGGUCUGGGGAGGGUAAGAUGUACGCAGUCCAUACCUCUACCUCUAAAGAAGUAGAAAGGUUGUUUCCGAUAGACCCCCGGCUCGAGGCACGGAAUACUAAACAAAUUCAUAGUAAACCAUAACAUAAAUACGACACCCACAAGUAAUAGUAAACAGAGAAAAGUAAACAGAUUCGUAAUAAAGCAUGAAACAAGGUAUCAUAACAAGAAUAAUACCCGCACCAAGUAAUUCCCUACCCUACACCCAAACUGACCUUAGCCUUCUGUCCUAAUUCGCGUCCUCCAGAUCUUCCUAUCUAGGGUCAUGUCCUCAAUGAGUUGUAACUGCUCCAUGUCCCGCCUAAUCACCUCUCCCCAGUACUUCUUCGGCCUACCCCUACCCGCCUAAAACCAUCCAAAGCUAGCCUCUCACACCUACGAACCAGGGCAUCCAUGCCCCUCCUCAUAACGUGUCUGAACCAUCUCAAUCGGACUUCCCGCAUCUUAAUCUAACUCUAUCCCCCCUAGUCAGCUCACACAUCCAACGCAACAUCCGCAUUUCCGCCACCUUCAUUUUUUGAAUGUGAGAGUUCUUAACUGGCCAACACUCCGCUCCAUACAACAUGGCCGGACGGAUUGCCACCCUGUAAAAUUUGCCUUUAAGCUUGGGCGGCACCUUCUUAUCACACUAUACCCCCGAAGCGAGCUUCCACUUCAUCUAUCCCACCCCAAUACGGUGCGAGACAUCCUCUUCAAUAUCACCGUUACCCUGAAUCACGGACCCGAGAUACUUGAAACUAUCCCUCUUACAUACCACCUGUGAUUCCAACUUCACUACCACCUCAUUCUCCAGCCUCACGUCAUUAAACUUGCAUUCCAAAUACUCUGUCUUACUCCUACUCAACCUGAACCCUUUAGACUCAAGAGUUUGUCUCCACACCUCUAAUUUCCGCGUCUCAUCAAUCAAAACUACAUCAUCUGCAAAAAGCAUACANNNNNNNNNNNNNNNNNNNNNNNNNNNNNNNNNNNNNNNNNNNNNNNNNNNNNNNNNNNNNNNNNNNNNNNNNNNNNNNNNNNNNNNNNNNNNNNNNNNNNNNNNNNNNNNNNNNNNNNNNNNNNNNNNNNNNNNNNNNNNNNNNNNNNNNNNNNNNNNNNNNNNNNNNNNNNNNNNNNNNNNNNNNNNNNNNNNNNNNNNNNNNNNNNNNNNNNNNNNNNNNNNNNNNNNNNNNNNNNNNNNNNNNNNNNNNNNNNNNNNNNNNNNNNNNNNNNNNNNNNNNNNNNNNNNNNNNNNNNNNNNNNNNNNNNNNNNNNNNNNNNNNNNNNNNNNNNNNNNNNNNNNNNNNNNNNNNNNNNNNNNNNNNNNNNNNNNNNNNNNNNNNNNNNNNNNNNNNNNNNNNNNNNNNNNNNNNNNCCAGGCAUAAAUCCAAACUGGUUCUCCGAAAUAGACACUAUCCGUCUCAGCCUCACCUCGACUACUCUCUCCCAAAUCAUCAUAGAGUGACUCACUCAAUAACUACCCCUAUAGUUAUUGCAACUCUGAAUGUCACCCUUGUUCUUAUAAAGAGAGAUCAUAGUACUCCACCUCCAAGCCUCGGGCAUUUUCGCCGUCUUGAAAAUUCCAUUAAACAAUCCAGUCAACCACAUUAAACCAGCCUCGCCAGAAAACUUCCAAAAAUCCACAGGUAGGUAUCUCAUCAGGCCCCGUCGCCCUACCCCUUCGCAUCCUGCGAACAACCUCUCUAACCUCCUCUACCUUAAAACGUCUACAAUAACUAAAAUCCCGACACUCCUCUGAGUGCUCCAACUCCCCUAACACAAUAGCUCUAUCCCUUCGUCAUUCAAGACCUAUGAAAAUACGACUACCAUCUAUUCUUAAUGUGGCCAUCCUCCACCAACACUGUACCGUCCUCCCCCUUAAUGCACUUCACCUGAUCGAGGUCACGACCCUUCCUCUCCCUAGCCUUAGCGAGUCUAAACAACUUUUUUUCUCCUCCUUUCUCCUAUAACCCCGCAUACAAGCUCUCAAAUGCUGCCGUCUUAGCCGUAGUAACUGCUAACUUAGCCUCCUUCAUAGCUAACUUGUACUCUUUCCUAUUUACCUGCUUCUCUUCUUCGUCCUUACUCUCAACCAACUUAGCAUACGCCCCUUUCUUGGUCUCCACUUUCUUCUUAACCUCUUCAUN